rnacentral:lncRNA from 1 species
AGGGUGCUCUUCAGGUGCCACACGAAGCUCAUUGUAGAAAGUGUGAUGCCAUAUCUUCUCCAUGUCAUCCCAAUUGCUAACAAUACCAUGCUCAAUUGGGUACUUAAGAGUCAAAAUACCUCUCUUUGAUUGAGCUUCAUCACCCACAUAGGCAUCUUUCUGGCCCAUCCCAACCAUCACACCAGUGUGACGGGGGCGACCAACAAUACUUGGGAAUACAGCGCGUGGAGCAUCAUCUCCAGCAAAUCCAGCCUUGAAAAAUCAAAAGAGACAGUAAAAAAAAUCAUAAAAAAAAAAAAUUGACACUGAAGAUGAGGGAUAGAGCACAAAAGAAGCUCAAAUCACCAAGGAACAUGAUCGUAAAAAGUUGGAACUCUAGUUCUGCAAUAAGAAAUACCAAAAUAAAUCCUGUAGUACCUUAACCAUUCCUGUCCCAUUGUCGCACACAAGUGGCUGGAUAUCCUCUCCUUCGGCCAUCUUAUGCUACCUCCUGUACAAAAUCACAGCUUUCUUAAGACAGUACACUCCUACCAGAUAUUCUUUUGUUUCCGUAUUUAUCUUUUCCCAUUCUAUAAAUAAAUACAAAACUAUUUGAAAGAAGCAGUUUAGUAAAAUAACGAAAUGGUUUUAUUCGACCCUCCCUCCUUUCCGUUUUGCUUCCAGUACGGUAUGGGCUGGGAACUCAGGAACCUCAUAAGGAGGACUGGAAAUAACAGAAUAUAGAAUAUUAUGCACCGGAUACAAUGAACUUUAUCUUUUUUGCUACUUUUUUGGGAGGAAGUAGGUGAUCCAACGUGUCACGCACAGAAAAAAUGAAUAAAAAUUCCUGAAUUAUGACAUAAAAAUAAAAUGUGGAAACAAAUAUUAGAGAGUGAAACACAUAAAACAGCUCAAGUUUCAAAAGAAAAAAAGAAAUUUUUUUAAGAAAAUAGCUAUCACAUCUCAUCAAAUACAUGCAACAUACAAAUAUACAUAAAAAGAGAGGAAAAAGAGAAGAAAGAAAAGGAGUGAGCUUCAAAAGAACUGAGAAGCACAUCCAUGUACAAUUCUGCACAUAAUCAUCAUGUAAACACAAUAUACAUUCGAAUCAAUUUUACUUUCGAGAUUAAAGAAAAUGGCAAAGAAUCGAAUGCCACAAGUUAGAUCGGAUCAAAAAGCAUAAAUAACACAACCAAAGGCUCACAAUUAUCAAAAAAUUGUUCAUUAAUCACCCAGUCUUUCUCGAAAAGACUCAAUAAAAAUGCUAUUAAUGCACAGAACCCACAUAUCCUAAAACAAAAAUGCAAGCAAAAGAUCCAUUAAAACCACAAAUAGACUACCAUUUUAGCGACAUGCAUUUCGCAUUUCACCCAAAAACUCGACGUUCCACAAAUAUAUGCCAAUCAAUAGUAGCAUAAAAAAUCUCUUAAACACCACAUCACGGCGAGAAAAGGAAAAAAGAAAACAUAAAAAUUAAUUCAGAAACUCGCUUAUGCAUAAGAAAUGUGAUCUCAGCUGGAUCAAUCAGAGAUCAAGAGCUACACUGUACAAAAAAAGCCAAAUGCAAAAUGAAUUAAACAACAAAUGCACCGAUUCAAAAGUUUAAAAAAUCAAGAUAUAAAAUGAGGAGCAAUUGUACAAAAUGAAAGGAAAUAGUAUACCUUUUCGAGUGCGUAAAACAGAUGAUUGAGGGCAAACGAAAAGGAGAUAAUAAUAGAACAGAAAAUGGUGGGUGGAGGAAAUGGCCUCCUCCUCCUCCUCCUCCUUAGCACUGUGGAUUUGGGGAAAAAAAUGUACAGCUAAAUGAGUUGCGCUCCCGUGUUCUCACUUGGGAACUGAGAAAUUUGAGGGAUUAUAAUGAGGAAGGGCGACGAAUCUGGACCGUUGGAUGGCGCCCAAAACUCCAACAGUCUGGAUGUGCGGACAGGGAUGACACGUAGCGAUCGUGGGGGCUAUAAUUUCUUCCUCUUCUUCGUGGUGUCCACUGCCGCCUCCUUUUCCGCUUUUUCUUUCAUUUUUUCUCUCUUUUUCCGGUUCCCCUCAGACCCCUACCUCUCCCCUUCCCCCUUUCUACAUAUUAGUACCAGUAAAUCAAUUUAUUAUUAUUAUUAUUUUAUUGUAAUAGUACUACUAUUUUUUGCUACUAAUAUCUCUUUCUAUUCUAAUUGUAUAUCCUAUUUUUAAUUCGGAGCUUGGAGAUUAUCUCCCAAAAACAUUUUUUAUUUUGAUUUGGACGUUGGUUUUAAGUUGACUGGGGAAAUGAUUGGGAUUUAAAAUGGACUAGAGACAGAAAUUAGUUGAACGUGGACAUGUUAACGUACUACAAAAUUUCUCAAUUUCGAAGAGGGAAAUGAGGGAGGUGAAUUUUGAGAGGCAAUUAUUACGGUUUUGUUUGUGGAUAUUAGUCAAUUUCUCCCGCAACUAUUUUGUGGCUAUUUACUUGCUACAUCUAUGGACCUCACAUGUCCUAUUUGGAAGUGGAUUUAAUUAAAUGCCCUUUACCUCCUAUCUAAUGGGAGGCUCUCUCGACCCAUCAAAAUUUGUUGCAACCCCAAAACCAAAGCAUACAUAAUAGUUAGGGUUAAUUCCACUUUGUCCCCCCAAACUUUGGACGAUUACCCACUUAAGUCCCUAAACUUCAAAAUGGGACACUUAAGUCCCUAAACUUAUAAAUACCUUCCACUUAAGGAAAAUUGUUAACAAAUCCUGAAUGUCGUUGGUGGUCGAAGUGUCCCAUUUUAUAAGGGUUUAGGGUUAUAAGUGUCCCAUUUUAUAAGUUCAGGGACUUAAGUGGGAGGUAUUUAUAAGUUUAGGGACUUAAGUGUCCCAUUUUGAAGUUUAGGGACUUAAGUGGAUAAUCGUCCAAAGUUUGGGGGGACAAAGUGGAAUUAACCCUAAUAGUUAGUAUUAACAAGCACCUCAGAAACUACUCUGCGAAUUCUUUUUCAUCUUUAGUGGAGUAGCUUCUCUGUGAAAUAAGCAACUCUUUUUUGGACAAAUGCUGCAUUACAAUUUACACUUGCAUUAUUAUCAUUGGCAAUCUCCUAACAUUUUUUUUUUUUUUGUGUCUAAAGGUUUCUCAGUUUACAUUAGUGGGGAUAACAAAUGGUCUUUUUGACAAUUUGUGAAUAGUAGCAUGUUUCUAUAUGCCAUAUAUGCUCCUCCUACCGAAUUACAUUGUAUGACUGUUUCUUGGUUAUACUCAAUGUGGGGAAUGGAUAUGAUUGAAAUUAUUGAUUUUCCGGUCUCGAAUGGAUAAGUUGAUGAGAUAAAAUUCAAAUCCAACAAAUAAAAGUUUGAUAAAAUAAAAUUCAAACUCAACUGUUUAUGAAUAAAACCCAAAUACAACACUUUGCGCGCUGGCAUUGGGGAAUGCGCUUUCCAAGUAUAUAACAACCUAAAAGAUAAGAUGACACGUGUGAUGUCUUGAAAAAUCUAAGGCCCUUUCUGUGACAUUAAUAUGGAGAUACUAAAUCCUCUACUUUGGUAGCAAAUGUGCAUCAUGUAACAACCUAUGUUUUCAGAACCGGACCGGAUAGCGACUCGGCCGAGGUCAUGGGUCAGGGGUCAAUGGAUUCGACCGGGGGUCGAUAGGGGUCGAAUCGGAUGACGUCAUAAAUAAAAAUUAUUUAAAAAUUAAAAUAUUAUAUAUAUAAUAUCUAAUAAUAUAUUGAUAUUAAUAAAGGUAUAUUCAUAUAUAUUUGAUGUUUCAAAUAUAUUUAACAAGAAAAUACAAAGAAAUUAGAACAAUCAAGUAGCAAUUUAUAUUAUUUAAUAAAUAUUAACAAGUUUAGAAUUAAAAUUAUGAAUUAAAUUGAAAAAUAACAUCAAAUUUUAGGACAAUACUUAUAAAGUAUCAAAUAUUUGAGGUAUAUCAAUAAGUUUUAACAAUUUAGGGGGUCAAAACAUAAUAUUAAAAAGUUUGAAUUUUUUUUUUAAAAAUUACUGUUGAACUGGAAAAACCGAUUUUUUCCCGGUCAAACCCGGUUUUUGACCGGCUUUGACCGGGUUUUAAAUUUCCGGUUUUUUAAUAUGACUCGGACCGGCUACCUGGCCGGUUCCCGGUUCGACCGGCCGGUCCGGUCCGAGUUUUAAAACAGAGGUAAUAACAACCGGAGGUGGAUCAGAGACGAGCCUUUUCCUCAUUCCAUCUCAACACAGUUGUCAUCCUCGGCACUUUUUUUUUUCUAUUUAAUUAAGGGCCUGUUUGGAAGUGUAGUUUUUUAGCAAGUUUGUAUAAAAUUAGUUUUUUAACAACUUUUGCUACAGGAAUCCCAAAAAACUUCUCAAAGUUUUUUACUUGCACACUUCAAAAAUCUAAUACACAAAAAAUUUCCCUUCAAUUUUUCUUCUUUUUCCUCCCUCACCCAACCCACCACGCCAGCCACCAUCUCCACCACCUCUCCCGGCGCCGGAAUAGGUGGCCGGCGCCGGUCACCUUAAAAGUUUUUUUUUUCUGUCCCUCUCCCUCACCCCCUCUCCUCCCCUCCCCUCCCCUCUUCCCCUCUCCCUCCCCCGCCACCCUCCCCCUCCCGCUAGUUGCGAUCUGGUCGCGCGACCAGAUCGCAAAGGGAAAGGGGGAGGGGACCAGAUCCCCCUCCCCUUUUGCAGUCUGGUCGCAGAUCACAGCUAAGGGAGGGGGAGGGUGGCGGCGGAGGGAGAGGGGAAGAAGGCGAGAGAAAAAGCUAAAAAUAAAAAAAUCCAUGGUCGGCCUUCCUCUGGCGUUGGAAUGCGAGGGGGAAGGGAGAGGAGAAGGAAAGGGGAGGAAAGGGGUGGCGGUGGAGGAGAGGGAGGGGUGGCGGGGGAGAGGGGAGGAAAGGGAUGGUGGGCAGAGGGGGGUGGCGGGGGAGGGAGAGGAGAAAAGCAAAAAAAAAAAAAAAUUUGUAUGUGUUUGCAGAGUUCGGGAGAGGGAACAUGGGAGGAAGAAGGGGAAGGGAGAAGAAACGGGAAGGGAGGAAGGAAAAGAAAAAAAAAGAAAAAAGAAAAAAAAAGAAAAAGAAAAAAAGUUUUUUCAUCCCACAAAGGUCCGUUUGGCCUCCAAAGUGGCUUCCUUGAACAUUUUUCAGUGAUUAUUUCUACUACAGCCUCCACAUAUUUGUAAAGUGCACGUCCAUGUGAUUGCCAAAUCAGGGAUCAAGAAUCAGCGUAGAGCCAAGAUUUUCAUGCAAGGAACUAGCGCAACUUUUACACCUGUACAAUGUCCCAUGGCUUAAUCAUAUCUGCUGUUGUUGGAUCAUGGAUGAUGAACUUGCCUUUUGAUCUUUGGACACUUGACACUAGCAACAAUCAACAAUUGGAGCCGCACAAGUAUCCAGUACACACGCAUACGGUAUAUUGCUAUGGAACCAGUAUAUCAGGGCGUUUAAAACGAUAAGCAGGAGAAAUAUGAAAUACGAUCAAAAUUCUAGAAAAGAAAAAUAUGAAAGUACAUAUAAUGAUUGAAAAGUGGUGCUAAUGACAUUGACAGCAAAAGUAGCACCGACCAUUCAGAGGUUAACUGCAACCAAAGAUGGUUCUAAGGAAAGAAAUGAAAGGAACAGUACCACAUUUCAAUUGAAGCUUGACACAAAAAUGAGCAAAGGUGAAAAUAUGAUCCAUCUUUUGGAUCAAUUUAAUCUGAACUGACUGCGCACAACCAUUAGCACAUCCGACCAAACUCAUAAUCUCAUUGCUUGAGCAUCACUUCUGGCCUGCCAAUCACUUACAGGAAUGGGGGCAAUAUCACCCAUCUUCGAGGAUACUUGGGUCUCCCGUCCUUUCCAUCAAAUAGCUGCAAAGUAAAGUGAAAAUGAACAUCAAAACAAAGUGAAGAACAGACUAACACGAGUGAUCUCAAUUCAUUACAAUUACACUGGUAGUGAAUGUUCUGUCAAUUUCUCUUUUUUUUUUUUAAAAAAAAAAAAGGCUCUACAACUAGAUAGAGAGUUUGGAGCGAUAAUGAAAUUGAGGAAUAGCUUCAUACUGCAAUGAUGCAUAGAUUUAUUAAAGCAACUACAGUGACUACACAAGCCACCAGAUGAAUAACUUAGCAAAAUGGUCAGACUCAGAUCAUUGGGGAAGUUCAUACUAGCAGACACUGAAAAGGAGAGAUUCUGCUAUGGCAUCUUGUGCAUGUAUUUCAAAACAAAAUUUACCCACAGUAACAGCAAAAGGUUCAUGAACAAGACAGAUAGUUUAGUGAUCUAAGAAGCUGGUGAUAGAAUUGUACAUUUACAUGCAUAGGAUUUUAAUUUUUUUAAUCUUCUAUCAAUUAAAUACAUAUAUCUCAUUAUGAAGAACGUUUAGAAGUCUAUCCCCUCUGGAUAUACACAAGUUUGGAUCAAAGUAAGAACAAAAGAAGGCUACCUUCCUCAAUCGUCUGUGCUUUGCAAGUGCCCAGUUAGUCAUAAUGGCAGCUGCAACAACCAUGAAAACAUAGCCAGCUACGGUUUGCAUUGCAAUGUUGAAUCCCAGCCACUGGUAAAUUUCUGUGGUGUAAUUGGCACAUGUAACGAUAUUGAAAAGGAAGCCACGUGGGAUUUGAUAUCCUCCACUACCAUCAGCAGGACGAAGCUUUCUCAACAAAAUAUGGCAAUAGAAGUUUGCCAAUUGACAAGCCAACCCGAUACCAAAGCCAAUCUUCACUUGGAGAUCACUAACAGGCGUGUAAAGUGGGUGAUUGACAUAAUAAGCAAUAUAGGAGCCAAAGCUCCAGUAAUAAGCACAAUUACGGAAGACAUUUGAAAGUGGGGAAGUGGCAUGGCUGAAACGGUGCACGAAGAAUGUUUCCAUGAUACGCUUGAAGUAGUGGAAACACCAGUAGUAUAAUGCAUAUGUCUGAACAGGGUGGAUGACACGCUUGCCUUUAUAGCCGAAAAAUUGAUACACAUUGAAGAAAUAGAAAAGAGGAUAAAGAAUAAGAGGCCCCAAGUAUUCCCAGAAGAAAAGUGUGCUAUAGGCAACCUGUAGACCUAGGUCCUUGAACACUACAGUCAACUCAUUUGUGCUCUCACCAAUGUACUCUUUAAGACUCUUCUUGUAGUGAAGAAUGGUAGGCUUCUCCUUGGAUCCAGGUGGGAGAGGGAGGGUGAGUCUUUGUCGAGAAGGAUAGUAUCUCUUGGCUGUUAACAAAAACGAGAUUAAUACAACACCUCAUACGGAUUAAGGAACAAUUACCAGAAACAAAGAGACAAAACAAGCUACAGACAAGUAGUCCAGGAAAAAAAAAAAAGAAAAAAGAAAAAAACCAAAGCAAGGAGCAAUUCAAAGGACCAAUGCUGUAAACAAUCAAUGAGUUUCAGAUGAUCCAAUAUGUGGAUGUUCUGGCACUGAAGAGCAUUGUCACCAAAUGACCAGGAAUCAUGAUAAAAAUUUGAAUCUUGAAGCUCUAAAAGUAAACCUUAAUAAUCAGAAGUGUAUAAACUUUUUUUCACCCUUUAAUUUGUAUAAGUUGACUGUGAAAUAUCUCUAAAUGCGCUACACAAUUCUACAGAAUGGAAAAGCAAUUGAGAAACUUGAUGGCACUAGCCUCAAAAUUAAAAAAUGCCCACAUUGUCACAGAAUGUUAUAAUUCUGUGUGCUGCUCAAACAUCCAAUGCAACUAAUGAUCUGAAGAUAAAAUCUUCCAUAUUUAACAAUAUAAACAUCAAAAUUAAACUCAUGAAUAGCGUAGCAACUAUUCACAACAUUAUCGUACAUGCACAACUGUAUGCAUUUACUUUGAUCUUUCACAAUUGUUUAGACUCCUGACAGUGAGGAUUUGAUUCUAUGAGAAAGAAAUGAAACAUUUCAUGGUUACUAGUAAAGAACAACGCUUGGAAAACUAAGUUCACUAAGGAAAGCCCUGUACAUUUGACAGGGUUCUGACAGUCUUCACAGGGGAAAGUUUGGCCACUUCACCUCACUGCCGUUGCUCAAUGAGUCCAUAAUGCUCAUGAGAUGAACCCCGAUGGCGGAGAAACUCAAGAUUCAGAUCAAUGUGGCCUAUCAAUAAACCUUAGAUUUUAGCUUCGCGAAAGGGCCAUCUGCCCUCGAUCUUUACAAAAGAGGCAAGAGAAAGUGUAAGAAAUCUCAGAACUUUCGCUCCUUCCCACAGUCAAUUUUAAGAAAGGUUCAAACUGGAUAUUUCUAUCCAUUCAAUUGAAAAAAAAUAAAAUCGAACGAAAACACGGCUAAUUGACCCAGAAGAUAGUAGGAUUGAACAAUAAUAACAUACUGCUUGUAAUAGUAAAAAUAAACCGUGCCAAUGUCGAGAAAUGGGUAUGUUUGGAUUGUGGACUAUUUUCAAAAAUUUAUUUGCUGGCAUGAUCAACCUAUUUUACAAACAUUUUUUUUAAUCUCACGGGCAUCACAUAAAAAAAAUACUAUAAUAUCUACUAUCCAGGUAUAAAAAAGAGGGAAACUUGCAAGAACAAGCAGACUUGCACAAGCACUCGUAAUAACAAACACGAAUUCAGCUCAGAUUAUAAACCUCGAAAAUAACGAAACCCAAGAAAGCAAAGCAACGUGAGAAGCAUUUUCUACUGACUUACUUCGCUUAUGGAUUGCCUCCUGAAGAUCAGCAACAGUAGCCUACAAGGACAGAGCCCAAAAGCCAUCAUAUUUUCUCUCAAUUCUAGUGUUGCAAAUAAAAAAGACGACCCCUUUUAGCUAAAUUGAGAAAAUAACAAGAGAAGAAGAGGACAAAUAGAAUAGCAUACGGAAUCAUCGAGGUCAAGGCCACCCUUUACUAGUUCUCUGCCGCUACGUGUAACAACCGUCACCUUCAUCCUUCAAAGAGUAAGCCUCCGACAGACACAGCGAGAGAGGGUACAAAAGUUCUGAGAGGUGGAACGAAGAUCUGAGGAUCGCUGGUGUUUCGGGACUGGGGGGGGAGUUAUAAAUAUAAUAAUUAAUUAUAAGAGUACUGAAAUGUUUAUGACGAUGAAAAAUGCUGAUGGGGGUGGGGGCGGAGCACGUGAGUUGGCAAAUGAGUGGGCGUUGCCUUGAAUCUAAUUUCGAUCCAAUGGCAGUAAUUAAUGGCGUGUGGUUGGGAAGUAGAUAAACAGCCCAUUCGCACCGAUGAACCACCUUCCCGCUACCGGUCCUAUUCUGGUAGUACUACGCCACUACAGUUCACGAAUAUCUGAAAACAGAAAAAUCCUCAGUCAAUUCAUGGGCUCUUUCCCUGAUUUGACUACCCUGUUCCAACUUUUAGAGCAAUCAAUUCUGUUACUUCGGAUUAUUGGACCAGAUACAAGAAUUAUUACACACAACAACCAACUGGACUACUAUUGUUCCAGUGAGGAUUGUGCGAGGGAACUACUAGGUUCAUUAAUUAAUUCAACAGAAUUGGACUUGACAAUACUCAGCACGGCAAGUAAACAAAUUAUAUGUAUGCAAGUGGGAUUAAGGCCCUAUAUUUUGAAGAAAUGUACUCUCAAGAAAUGACUUGACGAACCGCUGUAACAAUCCAAUUUGCUGAUUCUUGUCAUUUCUCCAACCCCUAACCUUUUAAGGAGAGAUUUGAAAGGAAGUAUGUGGAAGAAAAAAGCAGUUUUAGAAUCGGUAUUUUCUUCUAAAAUGACUUAUCAUUGGCAGUGGCUAUUAUGUUCUUGCAUUUCUCCUAAGUUAGAUAUUCUGAGAUUUUUUUUUUGCUUCACACAAAAUUUUGCGCUCGGUGGAAAAGAACAGGGUGGGAUUGCCAAUUACUCCGGUUUGUCAUGGGAAUGGCAUAUCAAUUAGUAUGCAACAUCAACCAUGCAUAUUUAAUACAAACAGUUGAUUACACGUGCAAUUUGCUUGUAAGUAUCAAUUAUAUCUAAUUUGACAAUAAAAUACGGCUGAAUUUACUUCAAUUUUUCCUUUGCAUAACUGCUAAUAUUAGUAAACAGUAGUCGCAAAGACAAGCCAAAUACUACACUAAAAAUUAUUGCAAGGAUUUGGGGAUUGAGAAUGAGCUCAAAGACAGUUGCAGUUCUCCAUCUCUAACUUGAUGUGGAUUAUUAACAUGCCCUAGACACGUCACGAAGAGAUCAAACUUGAACCGAAAUUCAAAUACUAGAAGACAAGUCCCCACCAAAAAAAGGAAAAAUGGGGAUCCAAAUCACAGUGGAACUCAUGAAAUUGUAUAUACUUAAAAAAAGUUUCAAAUGUAUAAAUUUAUGAAGCACCACUGCUGGUACUGGUAGUGAGUGACUCCUGAAUUACACCUCAACAGACAAGUGAAACUGGAAAUUCAUCAGUGUUUUUCCACGGGUUCUCGUUGAGCCCCAUCAACGCUUUUCUCAAUUGGAGGCAAAGUCUGCAAGCUCACCAGCAAACUACAUUAGAGGCUAACUUCACAAAAAAGGUCCCAGUUAAAAAUACUAGUAAAACUCAAGAGGAAAGUUUCGCACGGUUCGUCUGGGCAUUUUAUCGAACAGUUGUACAGCUGUGUGAGUAUUUAGAGGGAGAGAGAAGGGGGGAGGGGUGUUACCAGAUCAGGCUUAAAUAUGUUGUGGACGACCGAGGCACCGGCGAGGAGCGAAACGAUCACGACUGCGCACGACCAAGGUAACGACGGCGUUCCAGUUGGCGGUUUCCCCCCUCCAAAUUUCUGAUUCAUUUUCCACUUCCCAAGUUCGCAAUUCCCUUGUACAAGACGCCCUCCAGUCGGAGUCGCCAGAAAGAGCGUUAUACACUUGAAUGCUUGAUAAUUAUCAGGCCCAUUAUGAUAACAGAUGUCUUUCCAGGAGCCCAAACGUAUAUUCUUUGGGAUGUGUUCCCAACGGCCAGAUCAAUGUCCAAUGUCCUCUAUCCGUCGGGAUAAAUCUGUGCUUGACUUCCCCGAAACUCCUCGCGGCCCAAAAUAAACUGCACAAAAGAAAAUGUCAAAGUUUUGCUUUAUUUCGCGAGGAAUAAUUUUUUUUUUCUGUAAACAAACCGAAGCAAAAAAUUUUUUUUUUUUAAAAAUCACAAUAACCCGUGGAGCUAGUUCGCAAAAGUUUUUCAAAUGUAUAAGCAUUUAUCUUUUCGAAUAAUGUUCUUAAGAUAGUUUUCUUCAUAAUAUUAGAUAACUUUAUUGCACAAAAAGAAAAAUAAAAAAAAGAACUCUCAGAAUUUAGAUGUUAAUUUGAAUUUAAAAUUCAAUAGUGAUGGUUUAUAUUGUUAGUAUAUAUAAAAUUUACUCUAAAAUAAUUUUACUGGAUUCAACCAUCUAGACUUUUUUGCUGGUUUUUAUUUUUGUGCUACUCCGUAGUUUGGAGAUGUGACAGUUUCUUAGGCCACAAGAAACCCCAAACAUGCAUGCACCACCGCGUCCAAAACACGUAAUCCUGGUAGAUGAAAAAGGAAAUCACUGGAGAAUUUCGCCACAAUUUAGCUGCAAGUUUUUUUCAUUAUUUACACAAGGUUCACAAUACACGUCAACUCAAUUACCUCAUCAAUUUUCCUCCAUAAAUAUACCAGAGCCAGGAGGGCAUACUGUAUCUAUCUACAUAUUCUACAGCCUGCAAAAUACAAUCAACUGCUGGAAACUGUCCGUAUAAAUGUAAGUUCUUGAAUUAUUUUUCAUAUAUGAUAAUAAGCUUCGUCGUCUUUGUUUACCAAUAGUCCUUAGGCACAUCAUCCUGUGGAGUUAUAUGAAGUGGUUGCACCAAAAUAGGAGUUUGUCCUCUGCGAGAAGAGAUCUAUAAUAUAUGAAUGACCCUGAAUCUAUUCAAUUGCAGUAUUUUGCUAUCCCGGAGUACGUAGGAAAUAGGAAAUGGCUGGAUUAUCUGAAACACGCAAUUACUAUUAUUAUUUUUUAAAUUUCUCCUUCUUUUUUUUUUUUUGUUCUUUUUGAACAUAUUAAGCUUAAGACCCCUAGAAGAAAGUUCAGAGCCCGAUUACUUCUUUCUUCUCUCUUGUAUUUGGAGUACAUUUGCAUUUUUCUGCUGAAUGCCUUUGAAUGCUUUUAAUAUUGUCAACGCUUCUAUCAAAAAACUGAACCCUGACAAUUCUUUGAUUGUCUUUUUUUUCUUUUUUUGCUGUUUUGGUUCAAAUUUAAGGAACAUAAACAUAUAUGCACACUAUAAUCUACAUCCUGAAUAUAUUUUGACGUAAUGGAGCACAAUAUCUUAAAGAAUAUCAGUUAGAAUAAAAGAUAUUGAAUCUGUACAUAUUUUUUUCUUUAAAAUAAAUUGGCAAUCUAUAUAUGAUUUUGCUAUUAAAAUUGUUACAAACAUGGUAAGGUGUUCUCUUUUGCUUUCCCUAAGCAUGUGGGAUUUUUUUUUCUAUGUUGUAUGAUUGAAAGGACACAGACUUUCCUAGGUCUUUCUUUACUCUUGAAUUGCUGGAAUGCUAGUCUUGCAAAGUAAAGGUAAUAAUAAAUUUUAGGGUAGUUAAAGAAGAGACCGAGGUCCUCAAGCGCUAAAUAUGAAGUCGUUGGUUCUUACUAUGAAAGUAAUUUAUUAGAGCUUAUAUGCUGUUCAACUGUAUUGUUAUAAAUUUUUGUGAAAACCACUAAUAUGCGUUUUGUGUCCUAAUAUAGUCUACCUAACAAUUCAAAAGUAAAGUAGAUGAAAACUUCUGUUUGUUCAAAUAUAUUCAACAGCAGUUGGUGGAUUGAAUAAUAACGCGGACGUAUUCUAAUACAAACCUCAUGCAAAUAUCUAGAAGUGGUACUGUUGUACCUAGUCGCUACCUGAUUAGUCCUCUUGUUGUGUAUUUUCUGUGGGAGCUAGGGCAGAAUAAUGAUCAAUGCUUGCGCGUUAAUCUUAAUUUAUACUUGCUGUACCUUAUGUCCGAUUGCCCUUUAAUUUUAUACAGAACGCAGCUAUAACCCAAACAAAUUUGUUCCAUAUUUCGGUCAAUGGCUUACUCUCUGCCCUUGGUUGCACCAAGCAACUUCAUUCUCAAGCUUAAAAUUCACUGCUCGAAAUGCGAGAAUAAGCUGAAGAGGAUGCUGCUAAGAGCUCCGGGUGUUCAUUCUGUUAGCAUAGACGCAAAGCAAGGAACUGUUGCUAUCUCAGGCAAUGUGGCGCCUUCCACAAUCUUGAUGUUGCUUGAAAAGGGAGUAGGCAGAAAGGCGGAGCUUUUGUGGGAGCAAAGCCCUUCUGCUUCCUCUACUUCUUCAAAGCUAGAUGGCCAGAAUUUAGAAAUUAUAGCGGAAUCGAAAGUGUUUGAUGAACGAUUUAAUGACCCGAAUGUGGUAGCCCAAUUGGAGCGACUGUCAGGAAUCCAAGGGUUGAAAAAUAUUCAGGUAACCUAUUCCAAGACCAUUAAGUUGAGCUUCAAGGGUGAAAAAGACGAUUUAAGUGACAAAAAUGUGGAAGUUACUGCUCGGGACCAGGGUAGUGGGAUUUUUUGUGAGGCUUCUGCGUCGUGUUGCGGUGGCCAUAAUCAUGGUGGUGUGCAUAGGAAUGUGCACGGAAAUGGAAUUGGCGGAUGCUGUGGAAAUCAUGCGGCUGGUUAUCCCAUUGCUUCAUAUGUUUGCCCUGUGCACAGUUGUGACGGAAAUUCCUACUGGCCGCCACAUGCAUGUGGAUCUGUACCUCCACCGGCUCCGCAACCACCGUGUCCUGGUUGUAGUCCAUCAGCCCCGCCUCUGGGGACUACUUAUGAUACCCCGCCUCCACCGCCGCCACCAGCUUCAAUGGGCUAUUCGUACUUUAGCCCUUUCAGCGAUGAUAACCUUUCAAGUGGCUGCAACAUCAUCUGAUGCUAAAAUACUACUGCGCAUACAUAUUAUGACGUAGCUUCAAGAAUAACGAGCACAUGGCCAAACUCCAGCAAUUGGCGCACCUAUUCAGCUUGCUAAUCAUUUCUUUUCUUAAACAAAGAUAUUUUGGCUUGAAUUGAUGUUGCGUCAUUAAUUUGAGUCUGUAAAAUAUUCCACCGGUUUGUACAAAUUAUAACUUUGAUUAUCUGCGUUCCUCCAUUUUCAUGUAAUUUCUGACAGUCUUGCUGCAAGAUGUCAAAAUAUAAAUGUGUGACUAUUCUUCCACAAGGCUAGUAAAAGCUUCUUUUUCGGUUCUCAGUCAGCCGAAACAUUUAAUCGAGUUCACUAAAAUGAGAGUCAAUAAAAAAAAAAACAGAAAAAAACCGAUUGCUAUUAAUUUUUCAUGCACAUUAAUUUGCAACCGUGAGAUACAAUAACUUGGUGGAAAGGGGAAAUAGUACUGCAAAAUAUUUAAUCCCAAAUUCUGCGGGAUUCGAUCCCUGGAAUGAUUAAGCUCUCUUAGGGAGAGAGAAAGCUGAGAAAAUUGACGAUAUUGCAGCGAACAAGAAUCCUAGUAGACAAAGGCUGGUGGCUGCAUCAGCCUUGCUUAAGAAUUUAUCAACCCCAGAAUCACUCCGAUCUACAAGUCUCUUAAAAUCUUGGGUCAUACCGAAACUCGCUGCAGCGCCCGUUGCAAGUACGUAUGAUAUAACCUGGAAAGCCAAUUUAUAUAGUUAUUAUGCAGUUUAUAAUUAGAAUAAUGUUCAUUUUAUAUUGUCCUGGAGUUCACAUCUUGAUCUAGACUUUCUUUUAAUGGCCAUGGCUGUUAAAAGAAAAAGCAGGGAAGCAUACGCGUAUUGGACCAGUCAACCGUUAACAAGUCAGCGAUGUUUCUUAAUUGAAUUGGUUAAUUAGUCAAUCAAUUUCACAUGUUCGAUUCACGAUUUUGUUUAGGAAAAUAUGGCCAUAUCAGUGGUGGAUUUAAGGUGAGGGCCCCUUAAAUUCUUAUAGUACCUAUAAAAUUUUGAUAUAAUAUCAAGUGUGUCUCUUGAAUUUUUUUAGGAAGGAUGUAAAAAAAAUUACGUGGUCCUCUAAAUUAGUUCAUAAGUUAAAAAUUUUAAAAGAAUAUGUGGGCUAUAAAAUUUCAUUUAAAGUAAACUGAAAAAAGCUUUUUCAUUUCAACUUAUUGGUGAAUUUUUUUUUUUUUUGCUUAAAAAACUAGAAAAAGAGUAGGUAAAAAAUUUUAAUGUUGUUUUUGUCUCCACUGAGAAUUUUUUCUGGCUCCACCAUUGGACCAUAUUUUCGAACCCUUUUGAGCAAAGUAUUUUCGAAACCUGAAAGCUAAGAAAGAACGGGAACAUGUAAUAUCAAUUCAGGCUAACUGUAAUAGUAUGCUUAUGAAGUCCUCCUAAUAUGCUCUAAAAAAAUGUUAUGUGCCAAAAUUGUAUGUAAUUAAAAUCAGAAGUAAUAGAAAGAUCCAUAAAAUCAGUUAACUUCUUGGAAUCAAUCCGCUUACAGCUACUUGCUAACCCUUUGUUCAAGUAUUAGGCCUACUUUCUUUCCACUUUUUUUUUUUUUUUCUCAAUCAUCUAUCUUAUGUCAUACACGUCAAAUCACAAAAGUUAUUACAGUAAAUAAUCUUUACUCCAAAUGGAGUCAUUGAUUUAUAUUUAGGUAAACCAAUAAUACAUAAUUUUGUUUGUGCAUUGAAUGAGAAGUGGGAACAAAAGUGGAAUAUAAAGGGAAGAGAAGGUCAUAUACCUUGUCACCAUAGAAGUCCAACUGAAGCAUCCCGUCGCCGCCGAUGCGAUUUCCAGUGCUUACCAGGAAGAUGGUUAGUGCAGUUUGGAAAAGAGUAUAUGCAAGUCCAAUAACAAUGGCACCCAGCAGGUACCUGCAGAACUCGAGAAUAAGUUUGAAGAAGCUGAAAUCCCACUAACUAGCCAAGAAACAUAUUUUACAAACCAAAGUAUAUAAAUAAUUAAUAGUCACAUGAUGGUUUUUUAAAUAAUGAUUAGUCAUUUCUAUGAAUAUCAUUCAUGGUUAUAACUUGUAAACAUUUCCGAACUUAAAAUUACUACCGUGACUAGAGGUGGAGUUCAUGACAAUUACCGGUAGGCAUGGAAAUCGGUGAACUUGGUUUUGACAUCACCAUAAUCCGAUCUUUCGGUGUAAGUGUUGGUUAUGAGGAUGAUAACGGAUAUGAGCAGGCAGACGAACGUUAAAAUCCUCACCAACAGGCUCACUAUCGGAGAAACCGCGGUGGAAGGUGGAGGAGCCAUAUUUGUUCAGUCUUCCUGGCCAAGGUGGCUUUCUCGUGCUGAUGGACUAUAUAAGUUGGUGGAAUUGUGGUAGUAUUGCUAGGGAAACUAAUACAUAUAGGAGUAGUAUCAAACUUUUACAACUUAGACAGCUGGUAUCAAUCCAUAUACUCCUGUUAUGUAAACCAUUCUCUUAAUUUAUACUACUGGACUACUAUAAUAUAAUGCUAUCUAUCAUCGCCGUGCAGGAGUUGACUCUGACUUAAUGAUCACCAAACAAGUCAACGACUUCUUUUUCUUCGCGUACGAAUGACAAAGCGCUCCAUAUUUUGUACUCAGCUCCCACAUGCAUCGUUUACUUUGAUGAAAGGAAAGCUGCGGCUAAUUGCUAAGCUGUUUGCUGGUAAUUACAUGGUUGACGCGAAGACAGCGCGAAUGUCAACCUUCAAAAUUAAUCGAACGGUUCUACUUUUAACUUUUGUAUAAUUGUAUGGAUAUAUAAAGAAGAGGAAUUAGCUGGCGACCAGAUUGAAUGCUUAAAUAGUGCUUGACUCCAACACAUACAUCCAUGAGAAAUACGGAGGAAAAAAUGACUUCUCAUUCUUUUCCGUUUUUAUUUUGUUCAUUACUAAGAAUGGCUCAUUCAACUGAGAAUAUAAUUUCCUACAAGAAUUGGAUGCAGCUAUAAAUGAUAUCGUGAUUCCUGAUAGACGUUUUAGCCUAGCUACAUGUAUAAACGGAAAGAGGAAAAAGAUUUCGGGCAGGCUAUGAAAAGAAUAUAAUUCCUAUUCUUUUUAUUGUUUGAAAAUGAAUCCUAAUUCUCAUUACUAGCUCUUGGCCUGAGUAAGAAAUCGCAACAAUCAGAAACGUGCAACCUUACUAAGCUGAACAGUAUACAACAUCGGACACCAAAGAAACAAUAUAAUAAGAAAAGCAGGCAGCAGAAUCCUGAGAAGCUUCCAAUAUUAUGAGCACUUUAACAAGAUGUAAUACCUGUGACCAUGUACUCUGGAGCAGCAUAACCAUAGGUCCCCAUGACUCGUGUAGACACAUGGCUUUUACCAUCCAUUGGCCCAUCCUUUGCGAGCCCAAAAUCAGAGAGUUUUGCAUUAUAAUUCUGUCAGGAUUCAGUUCAUCAACAAGAUGCAUAAGUGACAGUGAGACACAAGUAAAGCAGAAAUCCAAAGAGUAAGACAUUCAACAAUUGGAAACUUGAGUUACAUACAUACCGAAUCAAGCAAGAUAUUUGAGGACUUAAAAUCACGGUAUAUAACUUUGGCUUCUGGGCUGUGAAGAUAUGCUAGCCCCUUUGCAGCGCCAUAAGCAACCUUCAUUCGGAGGUUCCAAGAUGGUGGUUGGAAGUAAGAGCUCCCUGUUGAAAAUAUACACAAGACAUUAUGUCAUUGUGAUAAUUGGAAGUGCAUUGUGUUGGAAGAUGGUAGACUUGCUACAGAGUUCAAGAACUCACUCCUGAAAAGAUGAUUUUCCAAGCUCCCCCUGGGCAUGAAUUCGUAAACCAAAAGUCUCUGUUCAUCUUCUAAGCAGUAUCCAACCAAUUUCACAAGAUUAGGAUGAUGUAGCUGUCCAAGAUAAUUGAUUUCUGUCUGUGAUUCAGGUGAAGAAACAAAAUUAUCAGCAUAGCUAAGAGAUUUCAGAAUAUGACAAUUACAAGUUUUGACCACGUGUGAUAUAUGUCAGUACUUUUUGCAUUAUUUAAUAACACUGGUAUGAAUUCUGUAAAUAACAGGUGAAGUCAUAUACUCACCAACCAUUCCUUGUGGCCCUGUAGACCUUCUUGGUUCAGUCUCUUCACAGCAAUAACCAAUCCAGUUCCUGGCUUAGCAGCCUUACAGCUAUGCUGAUCAACCCACCCCUUAAAAACACAACCAAAUCCGCCUUCUCCCAACACGCUAUCUGGGCGGAAGUUCCUAGUGGCUGUUUUUAGAUCAUUAAACCCAAAACUCCUCAGAUUUGAUGAUUCCAAAAUUUCACUCUCACUGCGAGGGGUCUGUGGUACUGAGGCAGAUGAGAGCCUGCUGCUUGAGUCUCUUCCAUCACUGCUGACAUAUCUUGAGUUUGCUCCUGCAAACAAAUUAAGUUAAUUUAUUGGGCUUCAACUGAACAUCCUACAACCUAAUUUCCUUUACAUCAAGAGCGUCUAAUCCUCGAAGGAAAAAAAAAGGAUGGAACAGCAUUAAAAAUGCAUGUCUAGGUGAUUUGCUUUUUGUUGAAGCAAAAGGCCUGAUAUUGCUUUGCAUAUGAUUCCUGUUAACAUUCAUAAAACAAUUGAAGAUUUCUAUGUAUGCUCAGAAACAUUAAUUAAGUGCCCUUUAAUUUCAGGUCAUUACUCUUGUAGUCUAGCCACUUCUUUCAUCUGGUUUGGUUUAUUCGUGAUGAGCCAAAGGUGUUGACUGAGCAGCCUUAUAUCAUCUUCAUACUUCAAAGCCAUGAUUCAGACCGGUGAUUUGUAAAGACAACUAUGGAAGGUCCGAGACGAUCCAAUUUGGUCUAUCAGAUUUUGAUUUUAGUAGCAGAACGACCACAAUAUCAUAAGUUGCAAAUGAAUUGUUGAGAUAUCAAACUAGCUAUCACCCAUAUCACCGGUUUCCAUGUAAAGUUUUCCAGACAAAGAGAACAUGACAUUCUAGAACGUUUAUCUCUUUUUCUUUGCAAAGGAACGGAACCAAAGGGGUCUAUCCAAAAAGAGAACUAUUGAUCAAAUACAGUAUAGCAAUCCUACUUGGAGGACCUAUGAAACUAGUAUGCAUAGAUUAUAUUCCAACCUGUGCCAAAGCAAGCAGCAUAUGUUUGCUAAAGAAGGCCAAGCAACAAGGUGGAACAACUAAUUAAAAUUUCCGGAAAACAUUUCCAAAAAUUGAGUCUUGAAAUAACAAAUGAGAACAGUUGCAUGUAUUGAAUUACCAGCAUGCAGAGGACUCUCGGCCUUAAUCCGAGCACUGAAGCAAGAGCCCAUAAAUUAUUAACAACAACCUUUCCAAAACUCUGAUCCUUCUUGCGAACCUUUUCUUCUUCUCCCAGAAAAAUUUGCAGAAAGUUCUGCGCUGAUGAAUCUUCAAAAAUCCCUUUAUGGGCGUGACCGCAGAAAACUGAAAAUGAAAUUCAUCAGACAAAAAGGUGUGAACAUGCUCAAAAGAUUUUUCCUACUAUCAAUGAAGGCAGAUGAAGAAUCCUGUUGAAUAUUUUACAUCUUUGUUCGGUUGGCUUCACGAGAAGCUAUUUCCAGACCUUCCCGAAGGCCAAAAUAGUUGACUUUUCGUACUACAAGUCCUUGGGUUAUCGUCAGCUACUACUCUGCAACUUGUACACGUACACACAUUAAAGAGAAGUGGACUCGACUACUCAACUCUGAUGAAGCGCGGUGGAAGACAGGACCGGCAGCAAAGUUUCACCUUUGGUCCUCUCUCUAUAAAUGUUCUCAAUUUAAUUCCACUCAAGUUUCACCUUUCGCAUUGCUCGGCUACAAAGCAACCACCGAUGCAAACUAAUAGCAUGGGUGCCUAAGCACGUCAAUUACAAAUGUUAAAAUUUCAAUAAGAUUUAACUUUGAAUCAAUUCAUAUCGAAUUAAGUAAAUCAUCAAUUCAUCUAAGGUAACAAAUUCGUUCACGUAUCUCACCCGUAAUAUUUUGUACCCUAUCCCGUUUUAUUUUAUUUAUUUUUAGUAGAAGAUGGAUAAGAAUUAAGGAAAUUUAAAUCCAAAACAUUUAAUUCUUGAAAUCUCAACCCUAAUCACACUUCAACCAUCCUCUUAAAUUUGUUCUAGCCCCUUAGCUCUUAACUAAAUGCUGGUUAAAUACAAUUGAGAUUGUUUCCAAUAACGAGUAAUAGCACCAAAAGGGUUCAAAUCUCUGUUUUCAAACUCGGACCGGACCGGCCGAUCGAACCAAUCGAACCGGGAACCGGCCAGGUAGCCAGUCCGAGUCAACUUAGAAAACCGGAAAUUUUAAAACUCGGUCAAAGCCGGUCAAAAUCCGGGUUUGACCGGGUUUGACCGGGAAAAAACCGGUUUUUCCGGUUCAACAGUGAUUUUUAAAAAAAAAAAUCAAACUUUAUAAUAUUAUGUUUUGGCCCCCUAAAUUGUUAAAACUUAUUCGUAUACCUCAAAUAUUUGAUACUUUAUAAAUAUUGUCCUACAAUUUGAUGUUAUUUUUCAAUUAAAUUCAUAAUUUUAAUUCUAAACUUGUUAAUAUUUAUUAAAUAAUAUAAAUUGCUACUUGAUUAUUCUAAUUUCUUUGUAUUUUCUUGUUAAAUAUAUUUGAAACAUCAAAUAUAUAUGAAUAUACCUUUAUUAAUAUCAAUAUAUUAUUAGAUAUGAUAUAUAUAAUAUUUUAAUUUUUAAAUAAUUUUUAUUUAUGACGUCAUCCGGUUCGACCCCUAUCGACCCCCGGUCGAACCCAUUGACCCCUGACCCCUGACCUUGGCCGAGUCGCUAUCCGGUCCGAUUCUGAAAACAUAGGUUCAAAUGGGUGAAGUUAUUGACCAAUUUUGGACGGGGUGAUCAAAGAUUAAAGCUUAAACAUAUGAGACUAAGACGAAACUGCCUGAAAAUUCAGGGGACUAAAACUGCAAAGCUUAAUUCAGGACACCAGCUUUUUGUGCCUUUCGGUGUCUAUCUCUUAAUUGAACGCUGAUGGUCAGGCGGUUGGAUUCUUUUAGUCUCUCGCACAAUUAAUAGGACAAAUGUGCAUUAAUUCAAAGAGCACCAGCCGUUGGAUCAGCAUAACAGUCAGUGGUGGAUGACACUGCAGUCGUGCUGUUCUGAUUCAUUUUUGCGUAUUAAGGGUUGAUUGGUAAAAGAUUAGCUUAAUUACAAGUACGUAAUUUAUUAUGGGAGUGGAUUUUAUGCGGUAUCCUUUCCUACCGCCGGCCUCGAAAUUGGCUGCGCCAAGUUUAUUGAACACUAAUCUGAUGGUAUGUCUUUUAAUCCAAAUAUUUGAAAAGUUUUUAAAGCUGCUGGAAUAAUCAACAUUUAUUAUUACUCCCUCCCUUUUUUUAUAACUGACGUUUAAGAAAUUUGCUCUAAUGUACUUUUAUCUGUCAUUUUAUUAUCUCAUACAGUAUUAAUUAUUUUUUCACAAUUUUACCCUUUUAUCUCUCUUUUUCAAUACAGGGUUCUUAAUUACUACUCUUAGUAAUUAUUGCUUUGACCUAGUAAAACAGCAUCAUUUAGUAUUCUAGUGAGAGAAAAUAUGGGUGAAUUGGACAAUUAAUGAGGGUACAAAAGGAAAAUAGUGUAAAGAUUUAAGCAAUAAAAAAUUUUUCUUAAUUGGUGUGCAAAAUCUUGAACGUCAGUUAUAAAAAAAAAAGGAGGGAGUAUUAACGCAUAAAGCGGGGGUGGCUUUUGUCCGUUUGCGCCUUGGGUUUUAUUUAGUGGAAAGGGCAGCCGAUGGAUGAUGCGCAGAUAACGUAAGAGCUUGCUAAGAAUGCCGAAUUGCUCAUGCGAACGGAUCAAGAGUCGAGAUAAACACCACCAUGUUGCUCUGUGUUAGUGUGCCUACACUUCUAGUUACCGUGGCUUAGAUUCUUUGGAGCCAUCAUCAUGGCCUCUUUUUUUUUUUUUUUUUUUUUUAAAAAAACCCAUUCUAUUCAUUAAAUUAGCAUUAAAUUAGUGCAAAUUAAUUUAGCCAAUUUAUGCUUGAAAUGACACUUACGAAUUAAGACGGCCCAGAUUCAAAAUUCGUAUCCUAAAUCUAACGAUGAUGAUGUGAUAAAAGAAUUCUAAAAAGAUUUAUGACUAUCGAACCAGACGAACAUAAUGACGAGAAUAAUAAUAAUAAUGGCUGUUAUUUGACAGUUUUUAUUAUUAUUAUUAUUAUCACCAUCACCAUCACCAUCAUCAUCAUCGUCUUCUUAAUCAGUUCACUCCGCCUCUUGAAUGUUGGAACCGCCACGUGUUUUCUUUUUUUUUUUUUUUUGUAGAGCACGCCACGGAGUAUUUGUUCUGGAGCACGACGAAGUGCAUCGUAGGGGACCAAUUUUGUACUCCAAAGGGAGAAAAAAAUGUCCAUCGCGGUGCUCCAAUUUGGAAUUCACACCAUUGAAAGCAAAAGUUUCCGGAUUUGAGCCACUUGGAGUCCCUUUAUGGACCAUCUGAUUGUAAUGGUUGGCAUUCCUGCACUUACUAGCAGUUUAUUUCAGUCGUUAUUUCUGUCGACCAAUCUUUUAGAGAAAAUGACCCAAAAAUUUUAGUUGCAACCCAAUUAACUCAAAAGAGCAGAUGCAGAUCAGAUCUUUUAAAUGAUGGCACAAGUCAAAGCAAUCCGCAUCCAUUGCGGUAAUUAUUUUAGUUUAUUGGAUGCGGGCACAUGGGUUGGGAAGAAAGGAAACAGAAAACACAAAGUGCCAACCCAUCCGAGAGGGGGGGAAAAAAAAAAGAAAGAUAUACAGAAUAAAUAAAUGGACAGGAAGAUCCAAAUUCGGAGUACCUGACUGGAAGGACAGUUGAAAAAUAAGAAGAUUACAUGGUACAUACAUAUCUUUAAUUAGUAACUGGUCGUCACCGGAUUCUUGUACAAAUCAAUAGAAAACAAAAUGAAACACCUCUACCUUCGGUUUCACUUGACUCUCUCGAUACUGAAAUUCAACUGUUGACUUUGUCUUUCCACAGCCUGGCAACAAUUAUACACUGGUGACAAAGCUUCCACACCAUACAUUAAGGCCACUGACGCUGACAAAAGAUUUACAUCCUGCCCAAGACAAAAGACAGAGCGCAUUCACAUCCUGCUUGGUCUGAUUUAGCUGCAGCAACUGCGUGCGACCUCCAGAGUAGCUCCUAACCUUGUAAAUCUGUUGAUCCUUCCAUAUCUCGUAGAAAAUUUUUACUUUUUUUUUCAUAUUUUUCAAACACUUUUUUAUUUUAUAUAUAUUAAAUUAUUAUAAUAUUUUUUUUUUAACAAAAAUUCUUGAAUAUAACAACAAUUCAGGCGACUCCUGAAAAUCUUUUGUUCGGUUUUAUGAAUCACUUUAAAUAUAAUGUAAACCUCAAAUAAUUUUUUGUGAACAUCAUGUAAUCAUGAUGCUUAACCUUCAGGAACAAUUGUUACUUGCGACAAAUCAUGAUGCUACCCUAAUUCGAAAAAAAGAUGACUCGAAGAAGAAAGUCAACAUCGGCAUCUCUGGUGAGCUAAGCAGCCAUGCAUCAUAAUUCAUAAGCAUAAUGUUAACCUAAAAUAAAGAUGACAAGGUACGUCAGAAUUGUUAUUAAAAUGGAUAUGCAGAUUGAAUGUCGACCUUGAGAGAGCGGUCGACUGGGCUCGAGACUAUUGAAUAAUUGCCGUUCCUACGCAUCUUACGUGUUUGUCUCGCCCAACUUUAAUAUUUCUAAAUGUACUUAAAUCCGUUGUAGCUUGCAUUUCCUUUUUUUCUUUUUAUUUUUUUCCUGGAUUGGACUAACCACUUUUAUGGAAUUUUGCAAGCAGGCAACCAGAAAACAGAUUACACCUUUCACUGAAAGCAGCGCCGUUAUUGCUACUAAGGACGUUAUUCCGGGGGGCCUUUUUGGUCAGGGAUGGCAACGGAGCGGGAUUUGAGCGGGAGAGGGACGCCUCGCUUCCCCCGACUGUAGGGGAGCUAAUAAAAAGUUGUCAUAUAAUUUUUUAUAGUCAAAUUUUAACAAACAAUCAAGUACUAAAAUAUCAACACAUCACCAAAUUAUCAUCCUAUUGUAUUUUUAUAAUUGAAACUCAUAAAAACAAUCAAAUAAGAGUUGUUUGAAUACAACCUAAUAUCAUCAAAUAAAUAUAACUAAAGUGAUCAAUUUUUCACUUCUGACACAAAUAUAAUUAUUAAAUCAUUAUUGUGUUUUUUUCUGAGGAAAAAAGUGUUAUUGUGUUAUGUGUAAUUAGAAAUUUAGUAUAAAUGUAUUAGUUAAUUUAAUAUAACUAAUUAAUAAUUUCUAUUAGUAGACAUAUAUAAUUAUUAGUAUAAUUGAUAAUAUCAAUUAAAUUACAUAUACUAAUAUCCAUUAUAUAAUACAUAUAAUUAAUAAUAUCAUUAUUAUAAAUUUAUAACUAAUUAAAUUAAAUAUUAUAUAUAAUUAUAUACAUACAUAUAUUCAUUUAUUAUUUUUUGGAAAAAUCGCCCAAAACGUCCUUCACAUUUUGUAAAAUGACUUUUUUCGUUCCUCACUUUUAAAAGUGUAAUUUUAUGUCCCUUACAUAUUCACAUCGGUCAAAUUUAGUCCCUAAUUAGGUUUUCCGAUCAUUUUUUGGCCGAAAUCCAUUACGUGCCUUGUACGUGAUCAUUUUUUAAGGGUAAAUUUGUCAAAUUAUAUUUUACAUAAUCUGAUCUAUAGUCCUCCAUAUUUUAUAAAACAAAUUUUUUCGUCCCUCAUAUUUUAUAAAAUGAUUUUUUUCAUCCCUCACAUUUCACAAAAUGAAUUUCUCCAUCCCUCACAUUUCAAAAAAUGAAUAUUUCCAUCCCCCACUAAUUAUAUAUGUAAGGGAAACUCUAAAAAAAAUGUGUGCGAAUACAUUUUGUUUAAACACAAGUAUAUGUCUAUUUGAUUUUGCUUAAUAAUCCGAAUAGCAUAAAUAUAUGUAUGUGUCUAUUUGAUUUCACUUAACAAUACGAAUACCAUAUAUUAUACGUGAUCAUUUGAUUUCAUCUGGUAUUAGCUAGUAAAUAAUCUUGCAUUCAUUGUCAAGUUGGUCAAUAAAGUUAUUUUCGAUCAAAAUACAAUAAGAAUAUGCAAAUUAAGGUUCUAUUGUAAAUAUUAGUCAUAAUCAUACAAAAUGAGAAGAUAGCCCACAAGUUGGCCAAUUACAUACAUGUGUUUAUACUAUUAUUAUUAAGCAAAAUCAAAUAGAUAUAUAUAUGUGUUUAAAAAAAUGUAUUUACACACAUAAUUAGUGAGAAAUGAAAAAUUCAUUUUGUGAAAUGUGAAGGAUGGAGAAAUUCAUUUUGUGAAAUGUAAGGGAUGAAAAAAAUCAUUUGAUAAAAAGUGAGGGACGAAAAAUUUUAUUUUAUAAAAUGUGGAGGACUAUAGAUGAGAUUAUGUAAAAUAUAAUUUGACAAAUUUACCCUUAAAAAAUAAUCAUGUGCCUUACACAUAAUGGAUUCCGGUCAAAAAAUGAUCGGAAACUUAGUUAGGGACUAAAUUUGUCCGAAGUGAAUAUGUAAGGAAUAUAAAAUUACACUUUUAAAAGUGAGGGACGAAAAAAGUUAUUUUACAAAUGUGAGGGACGUUUUGGACGAUUUUUCCUUAUUUUUUUAACGAAUCGUGAGACAGGUAUACCCUGCCCCCACCCCCCCUCCCCUGUCUAGGGAGGGUGGAAAUUCCUCUCCGUCCCAACUCCCGUCCCAUUAGCCCUCCGCGGAGUGGAUCCCGCCCAAUUGCCACUCCUAUUUGCGGUUGCGGGUGUGGGCACGUAAGAUUUGUUUAUUCGUAUGGUUCUUAAAAGGUCGAAUGGCACUUUGCCCUCUGAACCAAAACAGUACACAGUUUGCCUUCGUUCACACUGAUGAUCGUAGAGGCAGCCGUGAUCAGCGGGCCAAAAAUGAAAAAACUAACGAAAUGUGACUAAAUUGUCCACUUUUGCGUGUGCAAGUCCACAAAUAAAUAUCCUAAAAAACCUAUGCUCUUAGUCCUCCACAUAUUUUCUUCCUGUUUUUUGAUCCUUCAUUUUUUGUUUCUAGCGCUAGCAGCCUCACUUGCAUUCCGUCUCUUUUUUUUUUUAAUAUCGCUCGGCAAUCUCCUUUUAUUUUUUGCACGCUUCAGGCUCCAUCCCGCGAAGAUACCCAAAUGCACAUUUACUUUCGAAGUUGAAGCAUCCAAUAAGAUGCACAAUGGUGUCAUUUCCCACACUCGUAGUUGCAUCUUCAUAUUGCUGAGUUGUUUGAGUUAGUUACCCGAGGCAUUUUGCUAGAUGUUUUUAUUUUGAAAUUUUUGUAUUUCUUUUUUGUGCGCUUCCAUUAUUUAUCAACACUAACACCUUUAUACUUGUUUGGCUUUACAGCAACUCCAAUUUUAGCCGUUAGCUAGCUGUUUAGGGGGGAAAUCUGGAAGAAAAUUACUCGCAUGUUUCAAGACUCUUAAUUCGUCUGACACACAUGGGCGCGCUCCUGCGCCCCCCGCCGCCGCCGCCGGGGUGUAGUAAAGUGUAUACUCCCUCCGUCCCACUUUGAUAGUCCUGUUUCUUUUUUCACACAGUUUAAGAAAAAGUAGUUAACUUUGUUGGAAAAGUAAAUUUAGAUUGCUAUUUUCCUAAAAUACCCUCACAUUAAAUAGAGUACAACUUUAUGGGAACUUGAAUUGAUGGUUAAAAAAGAAUCAACUCUCAUUAAAUGGGGUAGGUUUAUAGCAACAAUAACUUAUAUUGAAUAAGGGUAUUUUAGGAAAAUGAAAAUACAACUACAUUCUUCAAUUGGAAAGUGGACUGCAAUUUGGGACAGACAAAAAAGGAAAACAGGACUAUCAAAGUGGGACGGAGAGAGUAUUAUUUUGGUUGGAGGGGGCAUAGUGGAAUUAACACCAUAGUUCAGGGAACAUUCAUCCUUCUUGAAAUGGUGGUGUCUGUCGAGUGAACAACUCGGCAGAAUUUCUCCCAAAAGAAACAGAGCCACAUGUUACGUUUCUAGUUUUCUGUUUCAUGGAUUAUACUGUUAGACUGCAUAGACAGGGGCAUUAGAAAAAUUAGUUUAAAUUUUGAUAGAAAUUGUGGGGAUUUUAAGAUUCGUAUGUUUGUUUUGCUUUUUGCUUGUGAAUGAUUUGAUGCUCUUAUCCUUGUUUUCCUAGCCUUUGAUUCGUAUCCCUUUCCACUGCCUGCUUCGUUUCCCAUGUACAAUUUAUUUUUCAUGCGUCGAAUGUGCAGCCAAAACACCAAGAUGCAAAUUCCAUUUUCUAUUAGCAGUUAGCCGGUUAGCCAAACCAUCAACCAAACUUAUUUCUUAAAAAGCCAACACUGCCGCAAGCAACUAGAAGUAAAUGCAUGCCCCAAUCCCACGUUCCUACUUCUUAAAUCCCAAGUACCUUCCUGCUUCUACAAUCCCACCUUCUCUUGCUGAAAAGAAAUUUAAAAAAAAAAAGAAGCAAAUAUAUGCACACACUAACAAUGUCAAGCUAAUUUUAUUCGUAAAUAGUCGGGGUGGUUAUGUUUGCUGAAAUAGGAUGAAGAGCUCAGCUUGGUUAUCAAAUUAAACGCUGUAAAAGUACGUGUAGCAAAAGUGAAAAAGCAUGAUUUACUCCAGGUACGAAAUCUCAAGUAGAAUAAACAAAACUUUCACCACCACUGAUCUCUGAUACAGAGCUUAAGCACUCUUCUUCACCUCUGCAGACUUGAUAAUGUCAAUGAACUCCGGCUAGCCACACAAAAAAGAGAAUCAGAAGACAGAAAAUACAUCUUCUGCUUUAUUUUUACAUAUUUAUCAUUUUAUUAUUCUACUUUCAAAUCUUGCUUCUUUGAGUAAUUGAGAACAUCAAGGUCAUAAACCGUCUAGGAGAAGAAGUGGAGCAAAAACUCUAAUGAGAUCAUUACCUUUAGAGAAGCUCCACCUACAAGAAAUCCAUCAACAUCAGGUUGUGCAGCUAAUUCCUUGCAGUUGGCACCAUUCACCGAACCUGCAGAGUCCAAAGCAUAAUUAUAGACAAUUUUGAACACAGUGCCUCACCAUUUAUUAAUCUCACAUAGUUGUAGUAUGGCCAUAUGACACCAGCAAAGAGGGCUAAAAUAUGUGGGACCCAAGUUUAAUGCCACCAAAACUAAAACCCCAAAAGAAAACGAACGACCAAAGUCUAUAUGUUUCCAGGCAACAAUAGCAGAAAGUGCAGCAGACUUCCCCCUGAUGGAAGGUAUGCAUACACAAGGUUCUUAUCACCAUAAAGGUGUUAUAAAACAUCUGAUUAUGACAUUGAAAUGGAGCUUCCUUUCCAUGUACAACUAUGCUCACCCUUCGGUUAUAAUCCCACCCUACCAAACUUCCUCCCAAGAGAUACUUUUCACUUCUGGUAUAUUCAAUAAUCAACAAAAUCCAGUAAUCUAUGUUCAUUAAAUUUCAUAAUGUAAUUGAGAUGUUAGGAAAUAAAUUCUACAACAUCACUUCUCAAGGAUACCUUCAUACAUCAAUAGUAACUAAUAUGGCAGAUAAUGUAUUUCUAAAAUCAGAGCUGACAAGUGCAUGGUUCAGAAUUUUCUAUUUUAAACCCAUUCUUCUUUUGUUAAUAUUUAUUUAGAAUUCAAACUUGAACCCAGGUCUGGUAGAUGCUGAAAACUUGAGAUGUCUUUUAUUUCAGAGUAAGACUGCCAGUUGACAGUACGUCAAACAGAACAAUAAGUUUAACAUUAUUUUUUUCGUUGCCAGGUCAAAGCAUCAGUACAUGACACUUUAAUCAAUUGCUCAUCUUACAGUUCCAAAUCAAAACCUUGAAAUUAACACAAGGAUUGGGAAGAAAUGUUAAAAACAAACACUGGGAAAUUUUUUGAACAUGGAGUUGGUAAAUGACAGGAUUACCUCCAUAGAUAAUUCUAGUUGAGGCAGCCACUUCAGGGCUUAUAUUAGCGUGAAGCCAUUUCCUCAGUUCAGCAUGUACCUAUUAUUCACCAUGAUGACAAAAACACACAUUGUAAAAAACUGAAAAAGUUAAGCCAACUUUCACAUUCCUAUAAGAACUGGACAUACCAAAAUAAGAUAAAUUUUACAUGCAAAAUUAACCCCUAAGCAGAUUUAUUUUUUGGUAAUCAGUGAAUAAUGCAAAGAAGGAAAAAAGUAUAAAAAGACGCCAGUAAUGGGUUUAUUGAAGAACCAGUUUGGUUCAUAGACCUGGAUUCUAGGCAACUAUUUUGCCACGAAAAUUAGUGUAGUACAAGACUAACAAUAGAUCCACACAACCAAACCCCCCCCCCCCCCCCAAAAAAAAAAAGGACCUUAACCAAUUGUUCAAAUAUUAUCCAAAAAUUUGGAUAUCUGAUCCCUAAAUUCUAAAUCCAUGAUCUCUUUAGUUUCCCAUGAUGAAAUAAGCACACAGGAAACCCAAAGUUCUACUUUUGAAAAAUGUUCUCCAAACCCAUCUAAGCUGCCCAAAAUAGAUAGAGACAGCCUAUCUGUAAGUCACUUGUGUUAUACAGUUUGUCUGUGGGAGACAAACAAAGCUAUCCCGAAAAAAGCACAGGCCCUCCCAGGAAAAUAAAAACCAACAAAUUCAUCGAAUGAAAUUCCAAUUCUGACCAAGAAUAAGAGCUAGGCUAAAGUAAUGUUUUCCUCUCAAGUAAGCAAUUUAUAGUGCAGAAAGCAAGCAACUAGGUCAUUUUAGUUCAUCUUUCAAGACAUUAUCAACCUUGCAUACUCACCAACAUUUUCACAUUAGCAAAAACUUCAUCAAGAACAUUAUAUUCGUUAAGCAAAAUAUUUGGUGUUGUCUUCUACCACCAAGUGACCAAGUAAUUCUAGACAAUUCCAAGCACCACAAGAAAUCAAUUACCAAAGUUCUGUAUAUACAGUUCUUACACCUUGAACAUUCACAUGUUAUCAGCCAUAUUUUUGGUUGAUAAUCAGCAAUACGGAACUUAGGCAAUGAGUAGAGUAUGUAUAAAAUUAGCUAAGGACUUACUUCUUGGGCCUGAGCAGGAGUUGCAACCUUCCCAGUUCCAAUAGCCCAAACAGGCUCGUAAGCCACAACCACAUUAGUCCAAUCUGAUACGCGGUCUGCAAUGUGGAUGGAAUUCAAAGCAGUCAGCUAAAAAACUAACGACUGUUGAGGCCAAUCUAAAACCUGAUAAUGACAUACGCAUAACAUAUACAAACUAAAAGUAAGUGACCAAUGAAAAAGCAAGUGGGCAUACUACCAAUUAGGUUCUGGACAAAUAUUAUUCUGAUACAUGAGUACAUUAAGAAACAAAAGAGCUCUUCAGAAAACAAGUGCUUUUUAUCUCUCGCCUCUCACCUUUGUAUGAUAGUGUUGUGGGGCAUGUCCAAGUGUCUGCUAUACUCUAGUAGAGUAUGGAAAGUCAUUUCCCAGUAAAACAUAGAGAUGAAACCAAAACAACCAGAAACGUACAAUCAAGUAACUGCCAUAGUCCUUAACUAGAAAUUCAUCAGAGAUUUAUUCAUUGAACUCAGAUCUCACAUAAGUCAAAACACUCAGGUGACAGAAAACUGAGCCCAUUAAGGAGGGAAUUUUCAAAUUAAGUUAAACAUAACAUCACAAGGACUAGUAAUCAUAUGGUCAAGACAUCCGGACUAGUUGUUGGCCAAGAGGUGCUGUAACUUCCCCAAGUAUUUGGGGCCAAGCUUAUCAUGUUCCAGAGCAACAAGUUUCAUUAAGACACAAACGCUCUGCAGAAGCGUAGGAAAGUGUGGGACAUGAAGCAGACUGCAAUAGCAGCCGCACAUUUCAUACCCGUGUCUCCAAAGAGACUACUGAUAUCAGUACCUGCAAUUGCCUUAGUUUGUGCAGCAACAACUUCCAGAGUUGAACCUGAUUCUCUCUGCUCAAGAGUCUCUCCAACACAGGCAAUUACCUUCAAACCUCGAGAAAGGGCAUAUGCAACUUUAUCUCCAACAAACUUGAAAGAAAACAGACAGCGAUCAAGAUAAGUUAAUCAGCAAAAGCAUCAAGAGUUUGCUUGAAAUGAAUAGUGACCAAAAUUGAAGCCCAUAAACUUGUUACAGAAGUAGAGAAAGGUUACCUCAUUUGAUUCACCCAAUAUCAAUCUCCUCUCUGAGUGACCAAGAAUGACCCAUGGAAUGUCCAAAUUGACAAGCAUCUCAGCACUAAAUCACAAUUAUGUGACAAAAAAAAGUUUUCAUCAUCUGUUAUAACCUAAGGUUGAAACUUGAUAUAACUUUUUAACAAAAUGUUAGCGAUAUCACAGAAUGGCAGAUAAUUUAUAUUUCAAGAAAUAAAACCGAAUUGGUAUUCAUGCAAAACUAGUUGUCACUAAACAAAUGCCAAAAGGAGCACUGCAAACUUAUAGAGCCAAUAUUUCCAUGUCGGAGUCUCCCAUGGCAGAAAGUAACAAGUUUUAAAAAGACCAAUAGAUUAUACCCUGCAGCCAACAUCCUAAGACAAUAGAAAGAUUAUCUGCCAAACAUACCUAAUCUCACCAGUGUAGGCACCCCCUUUCUUAACCCAACAAUUUUGGGCAGCAACAUGGAAAUCCGGUCGCAAUGAGCCCUUGGUCAAUGGAAGAAACACAAAUGGAGGGCUCACAACAACCUCUGCAGCAAUAACAAGCUCUCAGGAACAUCAGGAAACUUGAAGACAAAAAGUAAAUGCAAACUAAAAUGCUACCCAAACGAAGCUAGUACCAUGAUUACUCACCCACGACAUCCUGAGACGGAACAUCACCAGCAUUAAGUGUUGAGAUUAUUUUCUUCACCUCCUCAUUGGUCCCAUUCUGCACGAAUAAUAGAAUUUCCUCUCAUUAUCAACUUUUCUAGCCACACUCGCUAAUUAGUACCAACAAAAAUCGUUAACUCUGAUUAGUUAAACCAUACAAAAUUUCUUCUAACCGCUUCAAUUUGAACUGAAGUGUUUUCCAUAUCAUUGGCUGUGUGAAUCAACAAUGCCUCUAGCCACACUAGCUAUUUAGUGAAAUAAAGUCACUCAACUCUAAUUAAUGAAACCGCAUCAAUUUUCUGCCAGAUCAAAUGUACGAGAGCUUAAAUCUGAGGUAAAAUAUUUUCUCCUUUUGCUUUAUUUCAAGCAAUUAAUAAUGUCCAAAACAACAACGAGCAACAAGCUUUGAAGUCCAGUCGCUGUUAUAAAAUCGAUGCUCAAGUCACUAGAUUACCAAAAUUGUCCAGUUACUAAUAAAGCAGAAUUUUCCAAUCACAGUUGUCAAAAAUUCAGAAUCAGGAUCUAGACCGUAUCCACUUUGCUAGAUCAGCUGAAAAUACCACCAUGUAAAUGUAGAACGAUCUCCAAACAAACAAACCAAAAAAAUCGAUUCGCAAAGCACAUAAAAAGAAACAGUACAUAUGUAGAAAUAGCCAAUUACGAACAACUGAUGAACAAAAAGACUUACGCAUUUCCAGUUGCCUCCGACGAAGAACUUUCUACCCAUGAUGGACGAAGAUUGCAAGGAUUUCAACUGGAUUGUGGUGUAAGGAAGAAAACUGCGGGCGCUCUAAUGCUUUUUGGGGUUUUCAGGGGUGAUCGAGGAUUAUAUUGCGGGGCUUUGAUUUUUUAUUUUAGGAAAUUGUGAAAAUGUGCGGAUCUAAGUGGAUUGUGUAUCACUGCUGUCGAAAUGACUAGUUUGACCUUUCACAGAAUAUCCACAGAUGUUGUAUUGCUGGUCCUUGUUAAUUGUUCCUCGUUAAGCUUCGGAGCUUGGCAAGGGUAAUCUGGUCAACUUGCUUGCUAUCUAAAUGCAUGGUCUGAGAGGUCACACUAACUUCGUAACUGCUCCUCCCUCCCCGUGAUUAUCGACGUCAGCCUAAUUAAAAGUUUUGGGCUUCGUUUUCCAUGGAUUGGGCCGCUCUAACACCGAGGAGGCUUAGACUCUAGGGACCAACUUUAUUUCAGGACAAAUGUAUUCCAACCUCAGUUUGGGUAUAAAGGUUAUGGGCUUAGACCCAACUCAUCCAUCCCAAUUCCAAUGUCAGGGAAGAGGCUGGUUCACUAGAGGAUGUGGAAGGGGUUUUUUUCUUAUUUUUCUUUUUCCCCCCUCCUCCUUUCUUUUUUGAGCAACAUCUACAUCUAUCUUAUUCUGUCUUAUAGUAAACGAGAACCCAAUUGCAUUAAGAGGAGUCAGAAGAAAAAAUCCCCACCAAAAACCAGAAGGGAUCUUCUGGUUGCGACCAAAGGCCUCGAUCAGAUCAAGGGAUGGUUGGAAGGGGAGAGGAGGAGAAAGGAGAGGAAAGGGGUGGUGGGGGGGAUAAUGGCAAUGGUGGUCAUGGAUGGUAGUAUUAAUUUUUAAAAUGUAUCAUAAAAAUAUUUUUAAUUUUAAAAGAUAUCUUAAAAUAUAUAUCAAAAACCUCUCAAAAAACAUCACAAAAAAUAUAUCUAUAAUAAAAUUUUUUUAAAUACGCUGUUACAAUAAAAUAUUUCAAAAACACUUUUAAAGACAGCUAAUCCAAACGAAACUAUUUGUGCUGGUAAAAACACAUCUAACUAGUAUAAUGGCAAACCCAUCAUAAAUUACCCUCAUUCAAAAAAAAAAAAAGAGAAAAAAAUCAAUUCUUUUGUUAUUGGCAUAUCUUUUUUAUUGCUUAUCAACUAUAAUCAUUAUUUUGUCAUAAAUCGCUGGCACUUAAAACAUCAAUAAUUCCCCGUGAAGGAAUCUCGCCAACUCUUUUUUUUUUUGUCGAUGCGAUAACUUCCUAUACUAUAGAGAAGGAAAGGAUCUCCUAGAGUCCGGAGAUAAUUUGAAAAGGACUAAACCAUCAUGGAAUCAGACCAAUGUACUACGCACUCGUUUGACUUUUUUAAGUAAAGCCACGUCUAAAUGUGACAAAUUGGUGGGAGGGAGGUGGUGGCCACCAAUUCAAAGGCUGGUAGUUAGGAAUCUCGCCAACUCGCCUGUGCCCAAUGAAGUCAAUCGCUCAACAUCACGCUUUUGCCCUUAAAGUGGAUUGCAUGAACCGACUUCAGUAAAGGAAAAUUCCCUUCUAGUCCCUAAAUCAGUUUCCCGCCAUCUCAAAAUUAGGGCUCACUUUCACUACACUGAUUUUGUUAUCGUCCUCAACCCUCACCUGCCAUUCUCUUAGAAAUCGUCAAAUUUUCCUUCCCUACUCCAUACUAGAAAACAAUUCACCCCAAAAUCUUCUUUUAUCUUAUUGAAAUGGCCAGCCAAGCCGAUGCUCAUGCAGCCACAUUCUCUGCUGCCGAGGUUCUAAUAACUUAAAUUGUUAAUUCAUUUUUAUAGGAUUAAUUAAGUAGGAUUUUGGCUUCCUUUUGUCUGUUUAAAAAAAUAUUGCAUCUGUUUGAGUUUUGCAGUUGGAGUUUCUAGCGGAAGAUGAGCUGAUUGAGAUUGUACCAAAUAUGAGGAUGGAUCCUCUCAACCUCAUCUGCGUACUAUUCUAGUCUUUUAACUUAGCUUUAUAUAUGCCCAGAAGAAAAUUUUUGCAAUCUGCUUACGUGAAAAGUACCGUUUUCUUUUUCUUGCUUUUUGAACUUGCCAGGGAGAUUUUGGCCCAUUUAGACCACAAAUAGCUACUCAGGUGCCUGUUUGGUUAGCUGUGGCUUUGAAGAGGAGAGGGAAAUGCACAAUUAGACCUCCUGACUGGAUGUCUGUGGGUGAGUUUUGCUUUUUAAAGAAUUUUCUCUAAUCACUUUUCGUAUUUUGAUGCUCUACCUUUUGCCAGUUCGUGUUCUGCACAACUGGAUAUGAAUUCAACUUGGGGCGGGCCCGUUUGGUGAAAAAAUUGAAGUGCUUUACAUUAAAUUCGUUCUACAGUUAGCAAGAAAUUUUGAAAAUGAAAACUUGAAGGAAAAUGCGAAUGGUGCAACAUAAAUUGCUUGAAAUUAUUUGGGUUUGUGAGUAGAUUUUCAGAGAGGAUACUAAAUGUUACUUGAAAGAGAAAUGAGUAACAGAAGAGAUCGUACCGGAUUGUUAAUUGUCUUCAAUUCAUCUUUGCCAACUAGAAAAGUUGACACAAGUUUUGGAAGCAGAGAGAGAUGCUGAAAAGUUUCAGCCAUUACCAUUCCAUUAUGUAGAAAUCUCAAGGCUUCUUUUUGAUCAGUAAGUUGCUCUGUAUGUUAUUUUGUAUUCGAAAGUGAUGAGUGCUUGUUUUGUUGUUUUCCUGUGUUGAUGGUGGCAUUUGUUGUGUAGUGCACGUGAUGACAUUCCUGACAUAUACAUGGUUAGUUAAAUGGUCCCUUGAGGUUCUCUAGUUACACUUAAUUAAUAUUUGCUCACAGAAUGUCAAUUUUAAUGCUUUUAGGUAAGGUCAUUGAUUGAGGACAUCAAAGAUGUGCGGUUUCACAAAAUUGGAACUGGCUUAGAGAUAAUAUCAAGGGAGCGAACAUAUGCAUUGAGGGUACACUUAUUCUUAUUUUUGUGAAUUCAUUGUUGAAAUGAUAGGUUUUACCUUUCAAUUUAUAUCUUGAGGUUAUGACAUUUGAGCUUGGAGAUGUCCUUUCUUGAUUCUUCUCAAAAAGUGAAACGUUAAAGAAAGCUGAGAAGAUGACAAGAGAUUAUGUGCCUGCAUAUCUGUUGUCCUAUUUCCUGUCUAUGUUAGACAUGAGAUUAUCAUUGUUGUCACGUUGAAAAUGUAGGUGUAGAACCACUGUUUAUUUUGCUCCAGUGUCUAACUACUGCAAAAUUGGCUCAGGACCGUAUGCCAUCAGUAACUUACUAGUAUUUGCUUCUAACAUGAGUGCGACUGUUUGUGCUUUGAUUGCUGUUUGACUGGUGCUUCCUGCAAUGAUUUUCUUCUCAGUGCUUUUCUGAACAUACUUGGCUCAAUGGAAGAGUAACCCCUGGUCUCUUACUAAAGUUAUCCUUUUACAUCCUUAACCAAAUGCACUUCUUUGUCUCAGAAUUGGUUUAUCCCUCCUGCAAGGAUAUAAUGUCCUUUUCUGGUACCUGAACUGCUCUGAUGCUUAUUAGAAUUAGAAUGUCUAUGUUUGUUCUAUGUGUCAAUCUUUCUAUUUGAUUUCUAGAUCUAAUAGAAAGCAAAUGUAGACAAUGGAGUUCUGAUAUUCCUGUUACAGUCUAAAGGUAGGGUGGCGGUGGGCUUAUAAUCGUUAUAUUCUUCAAUCUCAGAAUUGAUAUUUUAUUGGAUUAAAAGGGAAGGUAAGGAGCAAAAAUUCAAGUGGACAAGUUUGUUGCUACUUGAAUUUGAUUCAGUUUUAUGGAAAUUAUUUGUUAGCUUGUUAAUGUUAAUCCAGAACCAUUUCAUGCAUAUAGAUGCUCUGUAACAGCAAGAGAACUUCAUUUGUAGUAAGUCCUGAAUAUCACCCUUCAAUUUUGUAGCUGAAAAAUCUGUCAGCAAUGGAAGCAAAUAUAGUGCGGCCAUUUGUGACAAGGGCUCUUCAGACAUUUUAUAAGCUCAAUAGUCCUGAUAUGAUUCAGGAAUCAGACAGCGUGUCAAACAGACAGCCUCAAACGGCCAACCGUGGGCCAAGGGUGAGCUUCUCAUUCCUGUAUAUCUGUAUCUUUUGGCCCUUAGAAUAUUUUUGUUAAGGCAUGCAGCAUGGCAUGGAACUUGCCAACACAUUAGCUAUAGCACUUGAAAGUACUUGACAAAUUGUGAGUGAGCGAAUAAUAUACUUAAUCUUCAUGCUGAGGUUGUGAUGCUAACUUUUUAUGUUUUUUGACUCAGCGUCAAUUGAAAGAUAGAUGAUCGUAUCCCCAUUGGUAUUUUCAAUUGGCUUAGCAACCACCUCAGCAUUUGUUGCUGAAGUAACAACAUUCAGAACGCUAGCUGGAGGUGCUGCUGUGGUUGAGUAAACUACCCAAUAUUGCUGUUGUCGAUCCCUUUUCAUGUUGAAAAAGCAUCGAGAAGUUCACUGAAAGGAAUGUGGCAUUUGUUUGGGUUUCUUAUCUUUGAAAACUGAACACAUAGAUAAACUCAGCGUUGAAGCUUCUGCUCUCUCUUUUUCAAUUAACUAAGGGUCAUCAUUGCUUUUUAUGGCUGUUAGUUUAUUGCGACAUGAGGAAUGGCAUGGAUCAGAUGUUUUGUUGGUCAUAUUGUAGGCAGCUGAAGGCCAUUAGCCUGAAUAAAAAUAACUUAGUUUACGUGUUAUGUUUUAAAUGAUAAGGAGAUGGAGUGUACUUGUUUCUUAUGAUGCUGCAGCACACUCUAUGAAUGGGAAUUUUUUUCUUUUCUUUAGUAAGCCUGUGUUUCAAAGGCUAGUCUUCGCCGAGACUGUCUAUGAAAUGUGGAGAUCGAAGAAGCUGGUAUAUUUCAAUCAUAGCCCUUAAAUACUGUCGUAGUUAUGAACUAAUGUGAAUGAUGUACAACAUGUGGUGGUGCAGUCAUGGAGUAAGAUUCCCAGGCGUAGAGCAAACUAUGAGCAUGCACUGAAGUAUUUAAUUUUUUUUUUCUGCCAAUAACGACAAUAUUCGUAUAAUUUAAUCUAUCAUAUUCUACAGAAAGGAAGAGUCUAAAGAGAUUGUGUAAGGAAUUAAUAAAUAUAUAAAUCUGAUUAGAUCAAAAUGGUACUUUAACAUCAUUUUAAAAUUUUUUUUUACUGCAUGUGAAGUUUAAACCUCCAACCUAUAAUUCAAAGAGGGACUUAUGCCUUUUUGGACGUGGGUGUGGGAGGUUGGGGAGUGGCCUGGGGUUGAAUAAAACAGUACUGAAUAGUUGUUUGAUUUUGACGUAUCAUUAGGUUGUCAGAUAAAUCAGGCAAGGCUGGAGAAUUCUUCUGCUAAUAAAAGCAGAGUGGCUACCAGGCAGUUGAAUGUUGCAUUAAGCUCGUUGCUGACUUUGCCAUCGUCUUCACUUCGCAUAGACACGAAUAACUUGACAAUUCCCCCGGCUGAGAUUGCCAAGAUCAUACAACUCUGACCCAGAUAAGGCCACGAAAUGGUGCGUGUGCAGUUGUACGUACCAUUUCUAACCAUAUAUAUUGACAUCAGAAUGAGAAUACGACGCAAUCAACAGUCAACAAUCUUUGGACUGUUGACCAUCAUCAUCAAUUAUCAUUAUAUAUAUCUUGUCAUUUAAAUAAUUUAAAUUUAUAUGAGUAUGUAAUGCACUCAUCUACGAACGAGAAAGGAAGACAAAUUCUUUUGAUGUCCUCAGCAAAGACAAAUGCUAGUUCUUGAGGACAGUCGUCAUCAAUGUAGCCAGGUUACUGUCCAGUUUGGCUCCUAUCCUUGCCAAUUUAUCAACGCAUCUGCUGGCUUCGCGUUACCCUUGUGUCGGACGUGUGCAAAUUCUCGUGCUUCUCGAACAUCUUGACCAGUGAAGAAUGUUGUAUACUCUUGGAAACUAAUUUAAGGAGGAAAAAAAAAUUGCUAUGCACGAUGGUCGAUGCUUUAGCCAAGUUUCGGCAUCUCUUGCUCUGAUAUACCUGAGCACAGAUUAUUAUAAUCCAAGAGAUUUGAUCAAAUUGUGGUUUAAUUAGUCGCUUGUAUUUGAUAAUUGAGCUGUAAGCAUGUGCGUUUUGGUGGACCAAAUUAAAGCUCCCUUGCAUUGGUGGUCCAGCUGGUUUGUCAUGCAGCAGUUGGGUACGCCAGUUCUGCUUGCCACGUGUCUAUAUAGUUUUAAAUGCCAGAAAUGAACAGAAGAAUACAGAUGAAGUGGCUGGCUGAGACAGAACCGAAGAGCGCAAGGUAAUCCUUAAAAUAGCCAGGUUGAUAGGUGUUGUGACAUGUCCGCUGCUCCCUGCAUGCGGCCCCCACGCCUUAGAUGAUUAACAAAUGAAUUGUGGCUGGACAUGUGGAACUAGUCAUUUUUUGAUGAUGAAGGAUUGAACAUGCUGGAAUUCUGUAAAACUUUGCGUUAAAAGAAGUGACUUCCACUGUAAUUUGUAAAGAGGUAAAUAAAUAAGCAUCUAAAAAGUGGGUAGGCGAAGCAUAUGGAUGUGUGUGGCUAUUUGCAGAGGGUUCUGAACCUUUAUAUUCAUGAAGCAUGGGCUCUGAAAAACUCGACUCUUUCAGAAGGUAACGAAACAUGUCACCCUAGUUAUUUCAAGGGCUCUGCCCGCGCCAGCUUUAUGUUCCAUCCUCGAGCACGUAUGAAUGACUUGGGAGGACGAUUGCUUCAAUUCUUAUCGUUUGGAUAUUGGCAUGGUUGUCAAAAUCAAAAGGUCCGCAUUCUUGUUUUUUCUUUGGUGUUAUUGAAGUUUUUCCGUCCCUAAUCGAAUUGGCAGGAUAUGGGAGCUGGACCCUAUUUAAAACGUGGUUGGCCCGUGGUGGUUUUCCUUCCAUAAUUUGCCAAGAUUGACUUGAUCAAAGCAUUUAUGAUAAGAAAGAAAAAAGACCGAGGCACGUAGGAAGGAUGUGGAGAGGAUUUUUUUUCAAAAAAAAAAAAAAGAGCAAAGAUAUAAAGAUUUUUCUCUGAUUCCUGGCUUAUUAGAAAGACCAGAGAUGGACACGUUUGGAAUUUGGGAUGAAUAUAGUCCGUAUAGAAAAACCUUACCCUAUACAUUAAACUACUAUAAUACACUAGUGUUUUGCUUUUCUUUUUCUUUUGGGACUUGCCUAACUUGAAUUGAAAAUCCUAAAACCAGGAUUAUUAAUUACACCCAUUAGCUAUUACUAGCUUGAAGGUUCCAUUGCACAGCUGUGUUUGUUAACCUUUAAUCGACAAAUUUUACAUGAAUCCCCUUUUAGUCUUCGUCCUCUUAAUUUAAAUGAGAGGUUAAAAGAAUUUACCUUCUUUUUCCUUUUAACAAAAGGAGAUCAACGUAACAUUUAAAAAAAAAAUAAAAAAAUUGGGGCUUGGAUCUCCGUGUUCAGAAUAUCUGCAACAUAACAUGUGGAUUUUUUUAACUUCUCCUAGUAUAAUAUGUGAAGAAGGCGGUUAUAAACUUAUAAAACACAUUAUAGUAUAUUUGUUCGUAACCGUCAGCAUUGAUUAUUUUUUUUCUUCAUUUUGAUGCAAUCUCUUUGACAGUAUUCUAAUGUCCAAAAUCAUAUAAGCUGUAACCAAAGACCAUGCUCGCCUCUCGGAUAUUAAAAUAAUUAGCAAAGCAAAGACCAUCCGCCUUUUCUGAAUGAACAAUCAUUUUCCUGAAUAAUUUUCCGCAUAAAUUGAUCCAUUCUGGUUGCCUAAUGGGAAUAAACAAAUGAUCUUCGGAGCUUCCGCCCAACGUGGCGGCCCACCUAAAAUCCUAGAACUUCUAAAUUAUUGAGGCGGUGAAACCGAAACCUCAAGCAAUUCUCGACAAUCAAUCAAUCAAUCAAUCAGAGUUAACAAAUCGUGAACUGUCUGGUUUGUUUUUGGUCAUACGACAUUUUGAUGGCGGGAUCUAUUUCAUGAAACUUGAGCAAGGUCUGUGGGUCUAUUAUACUUAGCUGAACAUAGAUUGUGGAUUGCGUUUUCUUUAGAGUACUCUCUACUUUUUUAUGUUAAAUUUUUUUUUUUUGGAAUGUAAUGAACCCAAUAUAUAAAUACUAUUCAAAAAAAAAAAAUAACAAGUAGUUGGGAGAUGUGUCCUAAAAAUAUUUUAUAAUUUGUUUCCAAAGACAAAAAGAGAUGACCUUCAAAACGUAUAGGACUAGUAGCUAAUUAACUCAGAGAAUGGUAGUUAAGUUUAAGAAUUGAGCCUUAAGGUCCAAUUUAAGAUCAACUUCUGAAUGGACCCGUUGGUUGGACUAUCAAUGACAAGUCUUAUUUGUCAUGAGCGACGACUUGGAUUUUAUUGAAUUUGAUGUUGACGACUUAAAUUGCGUGACGUAUUAAACUUUAAAAAAAUCUAACUAAAGUUAAAUCAAGAGUCAAAAUCAACUGAUUUAACAAAGCAUUUCAUAUAAGAAAAAAAAUAUACAAAUUUGAAAUACACUCAAUUCGAAAUAUGAAUAAUUUACUAAAUUAGUUGUAUUCUUUCAAGGUAAUUGCGUUUAGAAUUCGUCAACAAAGCAAACCACCAUGUACAAUUUUUUAACGACCCUGAAAAGCUAGCUGAAUUUGCUUUGAAUCGUUCUUGUAGAUAUUCUAAUAUACCGAGGCAUUUUCUCAUCAGAAUAUUAAAGCUACUCCGAUCCGUUGCUUAAAUGCGGUUUAUCUCUUUUUCACUAUUCAAUGAUUGAGCUUCAAGUGCUGUCUUUGGCUAACCUAUGAUGUUAAUUAAGGGAGGGAGAGACCUAUGAUGUUAAUUUUUUGUAAAAUUAAAAUUUGUUCCAAAAAGUACCUAGAUAUAUAUAUGAUAUGUAUGCUUUUCUUAUUAAAAAGUGGUAAAAAAUUAGGGUAAUCAUCCAGACCAUCAAAUAUGCUUUUGGAUAGUUGGAUCAUGUAUACUUAUGGAUCGCCUCCUUAUAGAGCAAGUAAUAGUCCUUUUACCCAAAAAACCAAUAAUAGUAAUGAUAAUAAUAACAACAACAACAAUAAUAAUAGGAUUAAUCUUUCUUACAACACUGUGUGACAGUGUAUACACUGUAAGUGUGUUAUGAUAAAUAUAUAAAAUUUAAAUUUAAAAUUUAACUUUUACACAUAUGUGAUAGAUUCAAUAAUGAUAGUAUAGUAUAUACACUGUCGACAGUCAGUCGGUGCAUAUAAAAUUUACUCAAUAAUAACAACAAUCAUAAUAAAAGAGAGAAAGAGAAGCGAAAGUGUAUUCCCUAAAAGGGAGGCCUGGGCACUGGGAAUGGCUUGCGCACCAAAUAGUUCUCCACUUAAACUUGAAAUCUUGCAUGUUUUAAUUCACGCACAAGAUCUGUUCUUGAUUUGAUCAAGUCAUGCGACGUAAAAUAUUGAACACGCUUUAUUUUGGAACAACUGGCUAACAGUCAAGCAGCAUGCAUAACGUACGAACCCCAAUUAAAACUCAAUCCUCUCUAAUGGGGAAAAUAAGGGAAACGCGAUGCAACGCUUUUGGACUCGCUUGCAACCGAGAUGGAUAGAUAUAGAUUUAACUCUCUUAUUUUGCAACUUUCUUGACGAAUAAUUGUUAUUAAAUCUGGAUUUAAUAGAGAAAAUUUGCACUAAUUAAGGCAACAUGCUUCUUUCCUCACUUGGUGAUUCAACUAAUUAAUCACCAACCCUAAGUCCCUAACCAGUCCUUCCCAUGUGAUAUUGGUUGGCAACUCGCAUGGGUGUAUGGCGGUGGAAGUUGGAAGACGAUCGGAGAAGCCGAGUUCGAAGUCAACUCUUUAACGUUCAUCACCGCGCUUCGUCGUCAGGGAAUUGCCUUGCGAAUCACGUCAUCCCGCUCCAGUCAACCCUGAACUUUAAACCUCCCGUAACUGUAAAGAAUUUCCUCGAAACCCAUAACCGGGCGGCCGGUCGCCGGAUUUUGUCCCAUUUGUCCAUGCAUUUUAAUGCCCUUCCUACCCCUUUCCUCACCCUGUCUCUCUCUUCUUGACAAAUUGAUUUCUUCUACGUUGCAGUCUUGCCGUCGCUUUAUAGCACGCCCACCACAAAUCACAAAUGCUGGUUCAUGAAGCUCCGACGAAAAUAACGAAGGAAACAAAACAACAUGUUACUCUCGCUCGAAUGAAUAGAAUCAUUUUCUAGCCAGUGGAUAAGAUAAAUCCAAUCUCAGGAGUAAGCUUAAAAAAAAAAAAAAAGAAAGAAAAAGAAGGUGUAAAAUGAGCUUGACAAUGAAAUUGCUUUUCCCUGUGGGGGUGAAGUAGACAUGCAUAUAUCUAAGUGAAAAUACCAAUAGAUCACGGCACCCAUAUGCCUCGUGAGUCACAUUUCUUUGAUUAUUUGCAAUUGAAACAACGAACUAGUGGAAAUAAACAUAAAAUCUAUUUGAAGGAUUCUUUAGGGAGACGUAUCGUAUGAGGGUAAAAAAAAAAAAAGAUAAAUUGUAGUAUUAUGUAUACAUGACAAAAAAAAAGUUUUCUAUUUAAAAAAUUGACGACAAAAAAAAUGUCUAAUAUCUGAUACUUUCUAAAUGUUAUCCAUUUUUCUCUCGAUUUUUUUUAAAAUUAAUUUUCCUAUUCACAUAAACUUAUGCUUUCUAGACAUUGUCCCUUUUUCUUCACACUUUAUAGAUAAAUUUUGUUGACGCUGUCCCUUUUUCUUCUCACUUUUUAGGUAAAUUUUGGAACACAAAAUUCGAUCAAAAUAGUCAUUGCAUCACAAAUAGUAUGCUUUUUAGGUAAACUUGGGAUGUCCUUUGAUUUUACUAAAUAGUUUUUAGGCAAAAUUUUUUCUAUUAAAACGAAUGAGUUUACUAUUCUAAUAUGCAUACAUAAAUGAAGCUAAUAAUGCAUCCUUCUAUUUGCUUUUUUUUUUUUUUGAUAUUUAACGAGGUUAGGAGAAAAUACAAAAUAUCUUUUUUGACUCAAAAAAUAAAUAGUUUGUCAUCUGUCAACUUGCCAAAUUUUCUACACGAGCAAAGCUAGCUGUGAGUAAUAUUUAACGUCUACCGUACGUGAUUUAAUGCAGGCAAAACAGCGAAAGAUUGACAGCGGAUUAUAAGCAGAUGGCAAAGAAGCUGUAAAUUGAAUAAAACCCCGUAAUAUUUUCAAAAAACAAACAAAAAAAAAGGGAAUAAACCCCGUAGAUCCGUCCACAUGCGUCUCCAUAUUCAUUCACCUUAUCCGUUGAAGUCGCAGGAUUUUGCUUGGGUAUUACGAAAAGCCUCCGAGGAAAAGCCCAGAAAUGUCAUUUCACGUUCCCUCCUCUUUUCAUUUUAUAUGAAGUAGCUGUCCCUCGCUGCGCUUCUUCUUCUUCAUCCGCCUGGGGUUGCAGGCUUGCACUUCAUUCUCCUCGAAUAUUCUUUUCUUCACCUCACCCAUCUGGAUCAUAUUGUUAAAGUUCCAAAUAUAUCCCCUCCUUCAAACCUAUAUAUAACUCUCCAAUCGAAAAUUCAAUUCGAUUGAAUCCUCUAUAAUCCUUCAAAAAAAAAAAAUAACAAAAGAAAAUCCUCUAUACUUUGUUUUUUCUUUUUCUUUUUUUGGUUUGCCUUUUAAUGCAGUUUCACUGCCUUCUCCUAUUAGUCAUAGAAUUUUGAUAGUCCGAAUAAGGUUCGGAAUUCGAGGUAAAUCUUCAAUCGGAGUAACACCUAAUGAUCGUUAAAUUCAGGAAACUUGAAUUGAAUUUACAGAAUUUUGUGAAGUUCAAUUCGCGUUAUUUUUCGUUUCCUGAUUUUUUAGCGGUUGAAAGAAAAAUGGUGAAAUUGUUAUGACGGUGCGGACGAUGAUGGACUGUAAAGUUUGUGCGGCAUCAGGAGAUUUUUUGUGGCGGGUGAGACCGGGGAUUGCAGGAGGCGGAGGUGGCGCAAGUAUGGGACAGAUGGACGGAGGGUUUAGUCCGUCGGAUGGCGAACAUGACCUGGCGAUGAUGGUCAGUGAAUUCUUGGAGUAUGGGAGUAGCGGGGGAGCUGACUCCAGGUGUAGCAGCGAUAGCGAGUCUGGAUUGUGCGAUAUCGCUGACCUCGCGGACAAAAUUUCUGUAAGUCUUAUUCAUCUAAGGAUUAGUUUUGAUCAUUUUUUUUCUUUUGUUUUAAAAGUUAACUGUUUAUUUUCUGGAAUGUCUUUUUUUUUUGCAAGUUCUUUGUUUUUAUGAGUUUUCCUUUGGUGAUUGAUUGAGGAGGAAAACUCUUGAAAGAAUUGUGCUCUUGUUUUCCCGGUCAUUUGAAGGGCUUAGAAGGAUUCAUUCAUGCCUUGUUGCCUAGAUUAUAAGCUUCGAAAUUUGGUUAUAGGAUUUCUUUUUUGAUUUUCUAGAACUUCACAAAACAAAACAAAUAGGAGCUUUCCUUUUUUCUUUUUUUUUUAACUGAUUUUUUCCCUUAAUUUUUCAUUGAAUGAAUUGUACCCUGAAAAUCUUAUAUGUGCAGGUGUUGCUUCUUUAAGACUUUGUGUUGCCUAGGUUGCGAUACAGUAGUAAUUCUUGUUAUAUUCUUUCCAGAGAUGACCUGGGUAAGGAAGGGAUUGGCUGGUUCCAAGACUUGGGCAUAUUCUUUAACUAGUCAGGAGCGUGUCUUUUGCUUUCUCUGUAGAUACGUGGACUUCUUAUUUCACAGGUUUUUUGUAUAUUACGAGAUCCUUUUGAGUAUAUAUCCAACAAUAAUGUUUUUGCAUGGCGUUAUAGCGAAACCUUGUGGCUAGUUGAAUCAUCUAUGCAGUAACUUGUCUACCUCACUAAACAUUUCAGCGUCAUGAAGUGAAUGCCUACUUUCCUUUUAGGCCUGUUUUGGAGUUAUGUUUACCAUUUUCAAGUGCAAAUUAACAACUCCAAAUUACUACUUGCUUGUAAAAUUACAGUUGAUAGAAGACUUAGAAACUCCUGCUUUCCUCUUUCUCCUUAAAUUCGCAUGAAGUCGUAGGAAUUACACCUUUCCUUUUGUGUCUCAAGCUAACUUAUUUCCUCUCUUCUUAUUCCCCCACCCCACUCUUUUUUUUGAAUAAUGAAAAAAUAGCUCCUAAUCCGAAUAAAUCUGUAGUAAUUAUACAAUAGAAGACUGGUCGUCAUGAGUCAUUGCUUAUAUCUUCCUUUUUUUGUUUUUCAUAUCAUAUAGUAUCACAAGCUGGCAAUGGAUCAAUUUGAGAUAGACACGCUUUCGGUGGUUAAUUCACUUCUGUUAUCUAUAAGCGAGAAGGACCUUCUGCACGUCAAGUCUGGUUUAUGUAAUGCCAGCUGCAUCAGAUUUUCCUUGGUGAAGCUUCUGAGGCUUUCUGGUUAUGAUGCUGGUGUUUGUGCAGCCAAGUGGCCUGGCAGUUCCAAGGUUCCUGGAGGUAUAAUCUUGUUCUAAUUUCCAACAUGCAUUUAUAUAGUUGACAUCCAAGAUUUGAAAUUUCAAAAUGUGUUGGAGGGUUUUCUAAGGCAUCUGUAACAUACAACAUACAUCUUGCCUUCUGCACUGAUUCUUGCUAAGCUGGUUGCAUUGUCCAUUUCUCUUACUGCCUUCUAAUUGACAGUGAAUGAAACUCUCCUGUGGUUUGCUGCCAAUGCCUACGAACCUUUUCAUGAAGAAUUUAUUUGGUAAUAAAGCUGGUUCGAUAACACGUGUUUUUCCAUUCUGGUAUUCAGGGGAUCAUGAGUACAUCGACGUGGUUAACUACACGAAUGCUGGAAGCUCAAGCUCUGAACGUCUGAUAAUUGAUAUUGAUUUCCGUAGUCACUUUGAGAUUGCUAGAGCUGUGGAGUCCUAUGAUAGAAUGUUGAAUUCACUUCCUGUAGUUUUUGUGGGCUCUUUGACAAAGCUGAAACAGUUCCUUCAGGUUAUGGUUGAAGCUGCUAGAUCUUCUCUGAAGCAGAAUUCAAUGCCUUUCCCCCCUUGGAGAUCUCUUCCUUAUUUGCAAGCUAAGUGGCAGUCUCCCUAUCAAAGAAAGUUUAGUCCUGAGGAACCCAAUGCUUAUGGAGGGUCUUCUAUGGAGCAUAAACAGUGUGGUGGACAUUUGAGGAGACUGCAGUCUGAGCUUGAAAUUGAGCGACUGUUGAAGCCUGUGAAGAGCAAUAAUUGGAAGCCAAAGCCUGACAAUAGGUGGAGGCGCUCCUCGUAUAUGACUCUUUGACAAAUAAAUUCUGGAGGCAGCUAGGGAGUGUAAGUUCUUGCCUGUUUGCAGACCUGACUUGGUAUGUGAAAGAGGUGCUAUGGCUUUCCUCGUUUUGAGAACCAAUUUUGAGGAGAUUCUCUGGGUAGAGUUAGAAGAAGCAUUCUGCAAAAAAGAGCAGAGGAUAUGAUAUAGUGGUAUUUAGAUGAAUUUACACACAGUAUUAGAAUGGGAACAUUUUAUCCUACUCCCAUCUAAUAAUGGCGCCCUAUACAUUUUAUCUCAUUCUUUGUGCUCCAGAAGAAAGCAAGAGCGUCAGGUUCUGGAUGUGGUGCAGGUUCUCUCCAUCAUCAACUGCAUUUGCAUCCUGCGAGCUGAAAAUGCUCGCUGGUGGAGCAAGUUUUCUGUUUUGUUGGUUGUCUUUUUAGGGUCUUUUUGCCUCCUUGGAAGGCAAAUUUUGCUCUCUUCUCUUCUGCGGGUUUCCACUUCAAUUGUUAAUUUGAGCUGCUUGUAUUGGUCAUGUUAAGCUUUCUCCGGUGGUCAAAUGAUUUUUUUGACCGUAUCCAUGCUACUUGCUUUCUGUUGCUGCAAAUUGCAAUCAAUCAGUCCCUUUCAUUUUAUUUUAUUUUAUUUUAUUUUACUACAUUAAGGGACUGGAAUAUGUGUUACAGAUUGUAGUGAUGGGAAAUGACUUCGGAUAUGGCAAUUCCCUCACUUGGGGGAACCCUUUAUGGGGCAUUUCCUAAUAUGUAUGGUUACCACUGGGCAAGUUUCGAGCAUUUGAUUAAAAGCGUUUUACAAUUUACAAAAAAUAGCUACACUAAUGUCUAAGGCGAGCCCAACUAGGUUUUUACACAGAGGAUAAACCAGGACUGACAUUUGACCUUCGACUAUGUGCAUCAUAUGUUACAGAGAAGGGAAAUUGAAAGGAAAAAUUGACAUUUCACCACCAACUACAUGGAUAAUGACCAGUUAAUGGGCAACCAAUUCUGCGGAUAUAUUAAGACCCUGUAAAUCUCUUUAUCAUCUUACACAGUUGGAUGCUUUAUGGAUCAAUGCCUAUCUAGAAAAGAAAAACAAUUUUUUUUUUUGUUUCUGAAAAAAUAGGAAGGAAUUUACUAAAUCCAGAUGCAAUAGAGGGCUGCAGGUAAGAUGUAGGUUUUGCCUUAAAUGGAGAGUUAAAUUUGACGAAUUAAGAUGUGGAACGUUUUGUUUUGUUUUGUUUUUUAUUUUCUAGCCUGUUGGACAUGUAUGUGGACCUGAAAUUGUCACACCAGGCACGCAAUGGUCUGUUAAGCCCUUCGGCGUCGGACAGCGCACAGGAUGGGCCAAAAGCUGCUAGUCCAACACUCAAAAAUGGAGGCCGAAGUGGACUCUGAAAAGUCUCAAGACCAAACACGAGGAAAGUCUAGAUUUAUCGUACAUCAUUUAACAGCCCAUGACUUGUAUACCACCGUAAUGCUCAUCUAGAAUUUUAGAUUACGAUAUGGCUUCUCCAACCAAUUCAAUAUUGCCAAGUUUGAUCAAGAUUUUUUUAUUUCUAUCCAAAAUCGAGCAAUUCACUCUUCCUACGCAGCAUCAUAAGAUUCCCAUCGUUUUCUUCGCGUCGCCUUCUUGCUGUCCACCUGGACGGCAUUUUCUUUGUUUACUUUUAGAUGAGUCAAGAGAACAAUAAUAAUAAUAAUAUCCUAACCUAUUGAGUAUUGCGGAAAACGCGCAGAAUAUUUGAUGAUUGAUGAGCUACUAUGCCUCAUCUCAUCACAUACUAUUACUUUUCCUUUCAAACCCGUGGUCUCACUUCGUCACCCAAGCUUAAAGGUCAGCCUCACGAACGUUCCAACUGAACGGACAAAACAACUGGUCUUGUCUGAAACAGAUCAAAAGUGCUGGUAUAAAACGCCGUAGCCAAAUCCAACAUGCACCAUCCCUCCUGAUUAAAGUAACACAUAGGAACUAGGGAGGUAGAAGUUAGACCUGGAACCCAUCUCUCCUUCCUGUAUAUCUAUCUCUGUUCCCUAUUUACAUGUAUAAUAACAAUAACAGAAAUAUGGAGAUGUCCAAGAGGACACAAUCUUCGGCCAUGGCCAUCUUUCUUGUGUUUGCUCUUUUUAUCCAACAUUUCUCAGCAGUGCAAUCGAUAGGGGUUAACUAUGGUACCGUUGCAGACAACCUUCCGCCACCGGCUCAAGUUGUUCAAUUCAUCAAAGACAAGACCUUCAUAGACCGCGUGAAGAUAUUCGAUGUCAACCCCGAUAUCAUCCGGGCCUUCGCCAACACCGGAAUCUUGCUCACCGUCACGGUCCCCAACGGAGAGAUCCCCAACCUCACCAACAUCAGAUACGCUCGCAGAUGGGUGAAUGAGCACAUCAAGCCAUUCUACCCGCAAACCAAAAUCAACUACAUCGCUGUAGGAAAUGAGGUCCUCCACUGGGGACCCCAGAAUCUGAUCGACAACCUCGUUGCUGCCAUGAGAACCCUUCACCAGGCUCUCGUCAAGAAUGGCAUCACAGAUGUAAAGGUGACGACACCACAUUCUCUAGGCAUUCUCGAAUCUGCUAAGCCGCCCAGCCUGGCUAAAUUCAGGCCUGGUUGGGAUGUAGGUGUUUUGGCACCCAUGUUGCAAUUUUUACGCGAAACCAAGUCUCCUUUUAUGGUCAAUCCGUACCCGUAUUUUGGUUUCGACCCCAAGGAGAUUGACUUCGAUCUCUUCAGACCAAACAGAGGAUAUUACGACAGGUUUUCCAAGAGGAGUUACACGAACCAGUUUGAUUUGCUGUUGGAUGCGGUUUUUAUGUCAAUGAAGAGACUGGGAUAUGCGGAUGUGGACAUUGUGGCAGCCGAGACGGGUUGGCCAUCUCAAGGGGAAACAUUUGAGCCACAAUGCACUCCUGCUAAUGCUGCUGCGUAUAACGGAGGAUUGGUGAAGAAGUACAACUCUGGGAGCGGGACUCCAUUGAUGCCGCACAGGAAGAUUGAGACGUACAUCUUUGCCUUGUUCAAUGAGAAUCAGAAACCGGGUUCGUUGGCUGAGAGAAGCUGGGGAUUGUUCAGGCCUGAUUUUACUCCUGUUUAUGACGUUGGAAUUAUGCGGGGGGGACAGGUAUGAAAUUCGGACUCUUAUAACUAUUAUUGCCUUAAUUAUGAAUGAAGUACUUUUGCCGUCUCUUGAAUUUGAUGUCUUUUCAUAGAUGCCCUUUUUACUAGUACUCCGUCCACGCCUUACCAUAAUGCAAUUAGAAGAUGAAUUGAAAAUCACCCAAUAUCUGCAUUUAAUUUAUAUUCUCCCAGUCAAGAGCUAAGACAACAAUAAUGGUUGCAUUGCAUGAGCAUGCAUUAAUUCUGCUAUAAUCAAUCCUUCAAAUACCAGUCCUUUCACUGAAGAUUGCCCAUUGAGAAUGAAUUCUGGUAAAGUUCCUCCCUUUACUUUAAACACAGCAUUUGUCUGUUUUGUUAUUGGAAUCUUCAAAAAUUAGGCCGACAUUUGAACACGGAACACGAAGCAUCGUUUGUCUGUUUUGCCUUUAGGCUUUAGGAGGAGUAGGGACACCGCAUUUGAACUUUUAUCCCGUUUCAACCUCAUAUGUUUGACAAAAUUACGGGAUAGCGAAAUGUGAAAAAUAGAGGAGUGUGGGGCUCUGGCGAAGGCUACAUCUGUUCCGCGUUGGACUGCUCCGAUUUCCGCGUUGAACCUUGGGACGAUAAAUGAUUCUUCUGACGAAGAUUCAUUGGUGAAAUUUCAAAUCCAUAAAUGACUAAAUAAAUAAAUAACUGCAUCAUCCAAUUAAUUAAACUUUGCAUGUUGUAGUGGUACUAAUGCGAAGCAGAAGACAACUUAUUAGGCUGGAAAAUUUACUAACUGAAAAAAAAAAUGUUUGAAUUAGCAGAAGAAAUUUGAUUCUUCUACUUUGUGGAAUGUUAGAGUCGGAAUGGUUCUAAUCCUCGAUGCCCUCUCUAAAAUGAGUCAGACAGGAAUCUUGUGCUAUAAUAUUGCCUUUAACCCUUUCCACCUUUACACUUUUGCUUUUUUUUUUUCUUUUUUUUUUCUUGGAUGGACCAGUCGGCUAAAUCUUGUCCCAUUUUCUUUUGACCUUCAGAAACAGCAAUCAGAAAUCACCCGAGUACUCUACAGUCUCCCCAUUCAAAGAAAACACUAGUAUAGUAGUGCAUCAUCUUUUUUUCAUUCUGCUGUAGUUAUUUGCUUAGUUGAAAAGAAGACGUAGGAGUAUUACGGUGACCAUAAAAUUAAGCUCGGCGGUGUGAUGAUGAAUUUAAUUUUGCAGUCGUCACAGCCAGUUCCGGUGCCAGGAGCACCGGCAUUGCAGGGCAAGGAAUGGUGCGUGCCAAAGGCAGGGGCCACAGACGCCGCACUGCAGAGCAACAUAGAUUACGUUUGCAGCCAGGGCUUAGAUUGCAGCCCGAUUCAAGCCGAGGGCGCCUGCUUCAAUCCCAACAAUGUGAGGUCUCAUGCAGCUUUUGUGAUGAACUCAUGGUACCAAUCCAAGGGCAAAGCUGACUAUAACUGUGAUUUCUCUCAAACCGGUUUCCUCACCUCUACCAACCCUAGUAAGUCCCUCUAUUUUUAUUGCUGCAACACAAUUUUCCAUCUCAAUAUAUACUUCCCUCUGAUCAGCAGUUUACCAUUCGUGGAUGGUACUUAGAAUGCUUCGUCUCUGGUUUUUGAAUUUUCAGGUUAUGGCACAUGCCAAUACACCAGCUAGGAUAUCAGUAAUUUGCAACAGGAAGGAGCUGCUGCAUGGAUUUAUACCAAAAUGGCAUCUAAUUUAUUGGGUUCUCCAUUGUUUAUUCAUCUGAUCUCUUAGUCAAUCACUUAAUUAACCUCAAUAUUUAUGUCCGUUCUGUUAAGUAUUGUAUUGGACGAUUCUCUGCGAUAUAGAGUUGUGUGCCGGCUGCGUGCAUGCCGAAAAUUGUACCAUAUCAUAACUUACUUGUAUUUUAUAUGUGUCAGAAUCCGGGAGCUGUUUUUUUCUUUUGUUUGCUUUUCAAAUGUCGUUAACUUAUAGAUUUUGGUCUUCAAUUUUGUGUAACGAAUAACUAAGUGGGCGUUAAGAACUAAAGGUGGCCCCCGACAGAAGAUAAGGUGCUUAGGAUUCUCUCUUUUUCUUAAAGCAAAUUCUUCAUUUUGAAGUUGGCAUCCAAUGCUUCUUUGAUUAUCUGUAUGCAUGAGUGCAUGCAUGCAUGUGGAUGUAAUAUAUGGAACAAUUAAUGGAGUCUAAAGUUCAUCCUGCCUCAAAAAAUAUAUAUUAGCAGAGAAUCAAGCUCUCAAAGAAUAUAUACCCAAAACAACCAAAAAAAGCAAAAAAGGAAGAAGAAAACUUGGGAUCUAUAAUUACUCACUGAACCGCUACUGUUGCAAAGUACCUCAAAAAAAGAGAGGAUGUUGGGGGGGGGGGGGAAGGUGGGGGGAUGUGAAAGCUACACCUGCAAAAUUUCAGUGGUGAAGAAAAUAACUCCAAACAACACCAAUCCUAUUCACGCCUUAACCUUGACGUCCAGUGCAAAAAUAUCUUUGACGACUUGGGCUUUGUCAGCCUGCAAUUGUGGAUCCCCAUUAUUGUCAAUCUUCAAUUCUGCAAAGAGGAGCUGUAGAAGCUUAGUUCUGUUUGCCACGAGAAUCCCAACAAUCUCUGGGGUCUUGUUUUCAUUGGCAGCAAACAACUUGAAAACUCGAAGCGCAUCAACUUGAAUGUUCUUGCUGGAGUCCCUGAGAAGAUUCAUAAAAAUCCUCAAAUUGUCCCUCGAACUAACAUAUUGCAGCAUGACAUCUGAAUUUGAGCGAUGCAUCAGCAUCUCUCCCAGCAACUUCACGGCUUCCCUUCUGGUAAGGUAAUUCGGAGAUUGAAGCAACUUAGAGUUGUAUUCCACAAAAAACCAAUCAUAAUUUUUGGACAGGAACUCGGCCACAGUUGAUUUAUGCCUCGUUAACAAUUGCUUAAAAGUUUCCGUAGCGUCAGCAGCAACUUCAAAACGUGCAACUUGUACAUAAUCGAAAAAUUUCUUCAUCAUUAGCUUCGAUUCCAAGACAUGCCUUGCAAGAUCUUGAUGGCGUAUGCAAUCCCUUAGCAUAGAACCAUAAUGCAAAGCCGUGAUCUCCAUACCAUUAUUCUCAUAACCACCAACCAAAACAUCGAUUAAGUUGAGAUUUUGUUCCAAAUAAUCACAAGCAAUAAACCUCGAACGGACCUUUUGCCUAAGAAAAUUUGAAACCAGUAGCGUAGCAUCCUUGCGGGUCUCCAGUUUCAACUUUGGAAGACAAAUAAUUAGAAGGCGCAAGGUAUCUUCCCUGAAGAACUCCUCGGUCAAUUGCGCACAAGCUGAUGCUACGGGUUGAGUAUCACUAUCUCCAUAAAGAAUGAACUUCAAAUCUUCCAAUAGCUUGCCGAUGGUAUUUAUCAUAUUUACUUGGCGUUUGUUUUGGCUUUGGCUUUGGAAAGUGUUUGGCGCAGAAUUGACAUGGCUGAGGAGAUCACGAGUCUGUCGAACUAGGUCAGCAGGGGUAGCCUUAGGUUUCGACUUAAAGAACAAAACACCCUUCAUAAUCUUUUUCAGGCUUUUUCUCGUCCAACUCCUAAUGUAAAAGAUAACUCAUACGUACCCUGAAUAUGAGAAUCUCCUUGGCAGUUGGCACUACCGCAAGGGCAGAGGACGCUCAACGCGGCGGCGCUGCUGCUUUCUCCAACUGGCCAAUUGCAAUGUCCUACUCCUGCUUAUUUACCCUUCUAACUACUCGUAUUUGUAGUUUGCAAUUGUGAAAAUUUUAGAAUACGAUUCCAAUUCAAUUUCUGUUGUCGUAAAGAACUAAAGCAAGUUCAAGAAAAACAUUCUUGGAAACGGAGACGUAACUGGUAAUUAGUAUUGCCAAGUUAAAUACUAUAUACAUAGGGGAGGAUUGUUAUGGUUUUUCCGAUUAGGUUUCUGAUCUUGAUAAGUAAGGAUAAGAAGGAAGUGAGGAGGGGUGAGAGGGUUAAAAAAAAAAAAAGAUAAAUACAUACAGGAUUUGGAUUGAAUUCUAAAUUAAAUCCAACUGCCAAAGUCAAAUUUACACUACGAAUCAACAGGUAGAUGAAGAUAAGUAUAAAACAUGCAUCAUUAUACGUUACGUUCUCUAAAAGGAAAAACACAAGAUCUUAUAGUAUUUUGGAUUGAACCAAUGUAGCAAUUAAGCAGGAAGAACGAGGGCCUAUUACUUCUGCAGCAGGAAGGGAAGCAUCAAAGCCAUAUAAACCCGCUAACUAAACUGCAUUAAUUUUACAAGCCCCAUAUACGAAGGAAGAGUUUGGAAACAGGAAUUGGACAACUACUCAAAUUCUUGUAUCUUGUGCUCGGCUCUCAUUCCUUCCCUUGGAGCCGGGAGGCCAUAUCUUUGGCAUUCCAACUUCCUCUCCAUGUGCUCUUUAAGGACCUUAACGACCAACCCGAAGGACAAAAACACCACACACGCACGACCAAAAACCUACUAUAUAUAAUUUGCAGCUAAUUUGAAAGUUCAUAGCAUAUCUUAAAUGCAUUGCUGCAGAUAGAUAGGUAAAUGAUUCAUUUGCUUCUAUUUUCUAGUCUAGAGAAGAGAAAAGUUUUGAAUUCAAUUUUUACUCUGACCUAGCUAGCAGGUAGGAAACUUUUGGUAAUUAAACACAAUUGCUUGUAUUCAUUGCUAGCCAAUAAAAAGUGCUGAAAGUUACUAUGCAUGGCUAACUCCGACAUUUUCUUGUUCUUGUUACAAUUUGACGAUUAGCCAGUUUCGAAAGUAGUUCUGACUAAGGUUGAACUCAAGGUGAUAUCAGUUACAACUAUGAGAGUUGAAUAAAUUAGUUAAUAAAAAAUUAAGCAAAUCUCCGUCUUGACUAACACUAACUAUUGUUUUCUGCUUUAAAUUGGGGUGGGUCGAAGCUGAAACUGGCUGUCAGACACAUAUCAAUCUUCGAUCUGAAUAUAAAAGAGCUGCAAUUAGCCAAUUACCAAGUCUGCAGUCCAUUAUAACGCAAUCCCUCCAUCUUAGGGUAGUUUCUUGAUUUUCUCCAUCUCAUCAUAAUACGAACAACGACCUAAUUGAAAAUGGUCUCACAAUUAAACAUUUUAUAUACUUGUACUUUUCUAGUGAGUAAGCUUUCACAUUUUUUAUACUUAAUUUAUCAUAUGAACGUAAGCAUUCACAUUUUUUUUUAGGACAAAAAACCUGAGCGGCCACUAAACUAUUGGUCAGAUCAUGUUUUGGCCAUCAAACUAUUUUUCGUCAAUAAUUGGCCACUAAACAACUUAAUCAGUAAAUCCGUGACCAUUUAGUCAAUAAUUGCUCUUAAUCUAUGAAAUUAGCAGUACACGUUGCAAAGCACAGGGGUAAUUUUGUCUAACAACUACGCGACUCUAUUUCACAGAUUAACUGUUAAUUUCAUAAAUUAAGAGUAACUAUCAACUAAAUGGUCAUGAGUUUACUGAUUAAGUUGUUUAGUGGCCAAUUACUGACGAAAAAUAGUUUGAUGGCCAAAAUAUGAUCCGAUCAAUAGUUUAGUGGCCGCUGAGAUUUUUUACCCUUUUUUUUUUAUUAAAACGAUAACAUUCUUAUAAUUUAAUCUAUCAUAAUUUAGGGAGAGGGAAAGUCGAUGGGAAUAGAAAUUCUAUCGAAGGAAACCACUGAAAGCAGUCACAUAUAGUGGUAAUUUGGUGAGAGGCAAGAGUUGGAUUCUUGACCUCCCAGCACCACCAAAAUUACCAAAAUUUAAAUACUUGGCAGUGACCACAAGGCCGAAGGACUGGUUCUCCGAAUUACAUGAUAAUCCUUUUUUCCCCAGGAAUUGAUUUGAGGGUAACUGCUUUUACUGUAUCGGCUAUCGGUAAGCGGUGAGUCCGAAGAAGAAGCUCAUGCAGUCCGUUGGGCUGUCGCUCUACGACAAUCUGGAGAUGCUUAAACAGAGCAAUUUGAAGGCCAUCUAGGCCACCUUCUUGAUCAAGUUUCUUGGAUUAUCGUACACAACGAUUCAGAAUUAAAUGACUUUUGGCCCAUGGGAAGUUGUCACUUAUCAUUCCUGUGACAACAACAUAAGUUUGCUUGGUGUCAUUAAUACGGCCCACCACAAACAUUAGCUUUAAUAAAUCGAAGGUUGCGAAAGAAAGGCGAAAUCCAUUGCCCAUAAAAGACAUGCCAGAGUUUAUAAUAAGUAAUAACGUGUCCUGUGGCCCCUCUACUGUCUACGAUCAAGAUGUUACUACUUUUUGGUUGGUCUUCCCAAUUGAUGGAAUAUCUUUUCUGGCGAAAUCAUUUAUGCAUCUGGUGCCUUACGAAUUAAACAACUUUGUUUGAAGUCUCAAGAUCUGUGGGUUGGCAAUGGCGUUAUGCCACCAUACAUCCCUUUCAAAUCUUAUUCAUACAUGGCGUAGAGUAUCAGUACUCAAUGAAGCACUAAAGUAGUUCUUCUUCCACUUGUGUGUGCAUCAAUAAUGUUUCGUUAUACACACACACACAUAUAUAUGUAUAUAUGGAUACACAUUUGUACAUAGAAUAAGAUAUCCCAUGAACCAAUUUAAGACAUCACCUACUAAAAAAUUAAAUAUUUUAAAACAUAAAUAAAUUUUAAAAUUAUAAAUUCAAACAAAUAAAUUCAUUUCAAUCGUACCUACUAGGAGAAAAAUCUUAAAUCCUACACAAACCACAAUCAUAUUCUAUAAUUAAACAAAAUGCAUUGAAACUCUUGAAAUUAAACAAACUCUAGUAGAACUACAAAAGAAAAUGGCGAUCUUUGAGUCUGAAGGUGAGAAAUAGAAGGAGUUUGAUUACUCUUUUAGAAAUUAGGGUUUCGAAGAAAAGAUUCGAUAGAUAAGUUUAAUGUUUAAAACUUUAGGUUCAUUUAAAACAAAAAGAUGGAAAAAAUGAAAAAUCGUGGUUCACGGAUCAAUUCGAGUUAAACAGUUUGAUCGAUUUUUAGCAAUUUUGAUCGAUUUUUUAUAAUAAGUCAACACUAGUAGUGAACUGAAUCGAAAGCUUGAGCAAUUCUUAGUCCCAUCGGUCAAUUCGGUCUGAUUUUCAAAACAUUGGUAUGUAUAUGCAAGACGUGGAAGUUAUUCUCCUUUGUUUUAACCUUUUUCAAAUCAUUAAAAAUUAGUCCUGAAAAUAUAUAGAACAUUAAGAGCGUAUUUAAUCAUUAAUUACUAGGAAAAAUGUUGAAGAAAAUACCGGAAAAAAAAAAACUAGUUUCUAGCUUCUACAAAGCCAAGACGGAUUAAAUUGGACAGCAAGUAGUAUGGUGGUACGUGUACCUUAGAAAACAAAAAACACGCGCAGACACCCCAUAUGGUAUAUGGUGGUGGUCCUAAUGUUUUCGACAUUCGACUAGAUGGCAAUUACCUUAAUAAGAUAUCCAUAAUGGUGGUCCUAAUCCUCAGUAACUGCGCGUAUACCAAAUUAAGAGUGCUAAUAAUCAUUUGUGACCCCGAAAUCUUUAACCGCAUAUGCUGCUUCUGGUGUCUAUUUAUUAACAGCAUGACCUUUUUUUUUAAUUAUUUUGCUCAAGAAUAUCGGGAAGUGAUUCAAAUGCUCCACCAGUGCCUUCAGUCCAACAAUUUUUUGGUUUGCGAGUUCAGUGAGAAAAGCAAAAAGAAAAUUAAAAUGCUGAAGUUAGGAAAGAAGAGCAGCACUUUCAGGCCUUUAAAUGCUCAUCCUCAAUCUCUCUCAUUUCUCUCUGCUUUUUGAGAGAGAGUUUUCUUAGAUUUUCAUCUCUAUAUUUUUCUCAAUUUUUAUUCACUUAAAACUCUCAAAUGAGGGAAAUGUGCUAAUUUCUCUAAUUUUGUCUCGUCUUCUCUUCAUCUCCUUCCUUCCAAACAAAGUGCUUUGUAAAUAACCAAAUAAAAAAUACGAUAAAAAGCAAAAAGGGAUGCCAAACCCUCGCACGUAUUUAUAUUAAGAGCUAGGGAGCUAAUUUUAGCACUUCCAUACUUGUAAUUGCCACUUCUGUUGAUUCUAGUAUUCGUGUAAAAUAAUUAUUUUUUUUUUAUAUUUACAUUCCACCCAACUUACCUUAGCAUUGCACAUAUUUAUAUUUGUUAUAUUCCCUGUAUUUAGAUUUUUUUUUUAUAUUAACUACAUUGUUGAAAACAAAAACAAAAAAAAAAAUCAUUUGAACAACAACAUAAGAGGAAAAAGUAAUUGUGUGCGGAUGUGUUUUUUGUAAUUGAAAGAUCGGGGAUAUUCUUCUUUUUAUUACAUCUGAUAAAAGUCUUUUUUUCUUUUUAAUUUUUUGAAGAGCCGUAUUUAACCAACAUAGGAAUACCAAAAUAUCAAAUUUCAUUAAAAUGGAUUAUUAUUUUGAAUAGAAGUCAAGGAGAAGUAAAACUAAAAGUGAUAUAAUAAGUCUCAGAACUAGAUGGAUAAUAAGAAUUUUAUUUUCUCCACUAAAGUAUAGCUAACUUCAUUGGUAUUUCACCUAGUUCAAAUCAGGGAAAACAGAAGAGAAGGAGCGGGAGUUAGGAAUGGUGCGCCAUGAGCAGGUGGAGUUUUUUGGAAAAUUUGGGUUGAAGGCUUAAUUUGUUGGGUUCUUUUUUCUGACUAGUUUGCUGGGUUUAAUGGUUUGGUGUAUUGUCUUUUGUCCACAUUUUUGUUGGUUUUUAAUACCCUCAUAUUUGCAUUGGAGAUAGUUAAGUAUGAUUGAUUUUAUAGUCUUUUUUGCUUAUUGAAUUCUAAUAGCAUAUAUUGAACAUUUAAAUACAAAAAAGCAUGCGGUGCUAAACGGUAGUUAGCGAUAGCGUGCGAUGUUGUGUGUGCAUUUUAAGCGUUGGAUUGAAACUAAGCGUGCAUUUGCAUUUGCAGAGAGGGUUAACCAUUGGUUAGUUUAAUUCUCAUCACAUUGAACUUAUCCAGUAGACAAUUAAUUUUAAAACUAUGUCAAAUAGAAUUAUGCUCUUAAUAAUUUAGUAAUCUCAUAUAUCUGUUUGAUUGAUGUAGCUUUUGACUGCACGUAGUUUUUGGUUAGUAAUUUUAUUUUAGAAAUUGUACAAUUAGAUUGGGUACAUGUCUCUCUAUAAAGUUUUGCUCUUCUCUUUCUUUUGGAAUUGUGUGUGUGUAUAUAUGUAUGUAUAUAUUAGAGGUAUUCUAUAUCGUAUUAGUAAAAGAUAGUGGCUUACUGAUUACUGAAUACUAUUUCAUUACAUUUCAUAAAUUACAUCCAAAUCAUUAACCAUCAAACACAUUCCAGCCGCAACGUGAGCCCCCUCAAACUAUUCCAUCAAUCGAGCCAGACAACGCGAACUUCAAUUUUCGUGCUCCUCCUUGUUGUAAAUCCCAAACUUCAAUUUUCGUACUCGUCCUUGGUGUAAAUCCCAAUCAAACGAGUUACAUUACAUCUCUUGCUAACGUAUUAUUCACAUCACAGAUUCGCAAUUGCGUUUUUGACUUUAGUCAUCGAUUUUUUUUUUAAUUUUUUUUUUGGAGUCCACAAAUUCAGUGUACCAGAAACCAACAAUAAAGAGCCAAAAGAAAAAAAAGAGAGAGAAACCAACAAUAAAUUAUGAAGUACUCCCUCUGUCCUACUUUGAUAGUUCUGUUUCUUUUUUCGCACAGGUUAAAAAAAAGUAAAUUUAGAUUGCUAUUUUUUUAAAAUACUCUCAUAUUAAAUAUGGUACAACUUUAUGAAAACUUGAAUUGAUGGUAAAAAAAGAAUUAAUUCUCAUUAAAUGGGAUAGGUUUAUAGUAACAACUACUUACAUUGAAUAAGGGUAUUUUAAGAAAAUUAAAAUAUAACUACAUUCUUCAAUUGAAAAGUGGACUGUAAUUUGAGACAGAUGAAAAAAGAAUACAAGACUAUCAAAGUGGGACGGAAGGAGUACACAGAAGAGUCACCAAACUAGUAAUAAUUGUUGGACGAUAAAGUUUAUAAAAGUGGACUUUCCUUUUAGAUAGUAGAAGAAGAUACUGCCAUAUACCAUCUCAAUAAAAAAUACGGAUAAAGGAAAAGGUGUAGGAUUAGCUACAGAGUAUAACAUAUCAUCAAAAGUUGAAGAUUGGUUGCUAGUUAUCAUUUCGCAAAGACCAAAAGCAGUCCAAUCCACCAUCAACGCCGCUUCAACCACUCCUCCUCCUCCUCAUCCAUGGAAGAAAAAGAGAAAAAGAAGAACAAGAAACCAAAACACCAGCACCCGAAUGAUCAAACCUCCAAAUCCACCACCUCAUCAGACCUUGCUGCAUUCAAGCCUAGCUCUGAAGUUAAAGGGCUUCGGUUUGGUGGCCAGUUUAUUGUUAAAUCCUUCACAAUCCGGCGCGCUAGGCCUCUUGAAUUCUUGCGCCUCCUCUCACUUCCACCGACACUCAACCUCAACCACCAACAAAACCAAGAAAAGACAAACGGGAAGCAGCCUUUUCCUUCAACUACCGCAUUCUUGCCGACAAAUUUCACGAUCUUGGCUCACCAUGCAUGGCACACUCUGACGCUUGGCCUUGGGACAAAGAAGUCUAAAGUGGUUGUUUUUGUAUUCGAGUCUGAGAAUAUGAAGGCUGCUGUGGACAGAGUUUGGCCGCCAGAAAUCCCACUCGGUGAAGUAAACAAGAAGCUUAUAAGGGGUCAGACCGGAUGCGAAAUGGCUAGAUUUAAAUUCAGGAAAGGUGCCAUUACAUUUUAUGUUUAUGCAGUGAGGAGAAUUGGGAACAUGGGUUUUUCAUUUGCGGAUGAUCUGAGGACAAUACUGCAAUCUGUGGUUGCACUCAAUGAUUUCUUGGAUCAUACCGCUAUGCUUGCCUUGCCUAAUCAGAGAAGCAUCAAUUAUUCACCUCCUGUUGCCAUGGUUCACUAGGCAUGUUUCUUUCCAUGAUCUUUUCUUUAUCCGUUCCUCUGAAGACUACCAUCCUUUGUUGUCUUUCUUCUUCUUCUUCUUCUUUUCAUGCUUUUAUUGGAAAAAUACUAGUUUUAUAUCUUCGGGGUGGGCGGGAAUUGAUUAAUUUUUUGGGGGAUUUUAGUUUUCUGUAUCUUUCUUGACUGUAAACUAGCAGAAUAAAUUGCAGGUUUUAGAGGUGAACUAAAGACUUUGUAGUUACUUUUUCCUUUUCUCGUGGGCUAGAAGAAUUUUUGUACUUGUGAACCUGCCAUAUCUAUAAACAAUGUUCAUAAGUCCACGUUCCUGCUAAGAGAUGCGUGAUUAGACCUGCAUAAAUUGCGAGUGGAUCAGUUUCUUCAGAUCUCAACAAAUUCACUUCUUUCGAAUUUUUUCCCUUUGAGCAAGCUCAUGAGAUCAAUGCCAAUCUUUUGCAAAAGAAAAUAAAAAAAAAAAAAAGAACUGCCAAUUAAGUUGGUGACCAAAGCUGAUGAAUGAUGUGCAGACUAUACUAUAGGACGCUUGUUGUUGUGUAGUCUCAAGUACUUGGAAUUUAAUCGACCAGGGGCCUUACUUGCUCUGAAAUUAAUGUCAAGUAUUGAUUAGGUGCAGAAUGCAACAAAAGCUACCAAAAAAUCGUGGGGCCAAUAAUCUAAUUAACAAGUAGUGUAUGCAAGAAACUACAAAUUUUUGUGUUGGAACGGUUCAAUUUUCUAAUCAUAAGCAUCAAUUUUCAGUGUACUUCAUAUCUUGAGCAUAUGCUUCUGUUUUAGCAGAGGCAAUCAUCGGACAACAGCAGAAAUGUUUGUGGCAUCAAGUUGGUACUUAGCGUUCAUAGUUAAUUAAGAGAUAGUUCUCAUAAACUUGAUAUAGUGUAUAUCUUAUGGUGUUUGCAUCCAUUGGGAGCAUGGAUUCAUGCAAACAGAAAAAAAUAAUAAUCUAGUCAUUUCAUUCAAUCCUGCGUCAGUCUGAAUAUUGUCCGACAAUGAACACUGUUUUUUUCGUGACUCGAGCAGAGAUCUACCCGUGAAAUGAAAGCCAAAGGCUGAAGUCACAACCCGGUAAAAUUAAUCACUAGACAACAAGUUUUCAGUGUUUAAUAUAGUACUAGUAUUUACUUCUUUACUACUUCAACUGGAAUAACUGCAUUAGGUUAGUAAACGCUUCUCGAAAAGUUAAAAAAGUUCACCUUUUAAGAAGGUGAGAAUCUGCUGUCAACAGUUUCAAGUGGGCGUCGAGUUAGUGGAUGGAGGUAGCUUAAUAGUCCACUAAUUAUGUAAUUUAACCGCAACAUUGCUCUCUUAAUUCUGCUACUUACAUUGCCAAUUAGGCGUGCCAUCCUUUGCUCGACCAAACUAGUUGUUGUUAUGUUUGAAAACAAUUACUGCAACUGAAAUAUUUCCUUCAUUUUUUUCCAAAAAAAAAAAAAACUUUUUAAAAGAAAAAUGUUGUGAAAAACCUUAACAAAGUUAUUGCAAAAAGUGACAGAUCAACAUGGCCAGUAGUCUUCUUCUAGCCAAAAGGGGUUGAACUUGUUAACCUUACGGUGAUUUUGAAGGCAGCAUAAAAUUAGGCAACACGGGAUGAAUGUAUGUUUACGUUACAUGAAUGAUAGCCUCAAGUGCGAAAGGUCAGGAUGUGAUGAUGGGAGAAAGUUAAAGAAUAUGCAGUGUGUACUGUGUACUGUGGAGGGCCGACCAUGGGGGCAUGCAGGAUGCUCGCCCAUGAAUAUUUGCCACUGGCCUUCUUGGAAGGCUUUUAUUUAUGGUCUCUGUUAAAGGUUGGAGAGAAAAGAAGAAGCUUCUUUCGUUUGCAUGUUCCCCCUCUUUACUUUAAUCAUUCGGUUUGUGAAGGCCCAUCUCAUCUCUCCAUCAGCUUUCUUGAUCACAUGAAUUGAGGUGGUCUUUUUUUCUCCCUUGCCGUAGGGAUAAUUUCAGAAACCUCCCUAAGGUUACUGAUAAUUUCAUUGAGCUCUCAUGAGAUUUGAAAAAUUACACAUACCUUUUUUGUUAUUUAAAAUGAUAAUUUUACCUUUAAAUAUUUUAUUGAAAUUCCCUUAUUUGGUAUACUUAUACUUAGAAUGAGUUUUAAAAUUAUUUUUUCAUUCUUUUUCCUCUUUAUUCCUUUUUUUUUAAUUUUUCACCAAUAAAACUGUAGAACUUCCACUAUUGCUUCUAUUUUCUAUUGUAAUCAAAUGUCAAACAAAUGAUUUUUUUGACAAGUUAAUUUUAUAUGUUAUUUAAUAUUUCUGCUGAUCUUUGUUUUCUAUUUUUUGGUACUAAAAUUAACAAUAAAUAAAAAAAAAUGGCCCAAAAUCACCACUAAAUUAUUAAUAAUCCCAUUACCCAAAAAAUUCAUAAACUCUAAAUGAAUUGUUUCAACAUUUUCUUUUCUAUCUUAUAAAUCUAAAUUCAUAAUAAAGUACCAUCAAAAGUAUCCUAUCAUAGUAAUAGAAUUAUUAUUAUAGUUGUUUAUCAAAUAGUAGGUAUGGAUAUGAAAAUUUAGCAUCUUUUCCUUAUAAUUAUACUAGAUAAUCUUAUAAUUGUAUAGGAAAAUAAAUUAAAACUCAUUACACAGGGGCAUUUUUCGAUAUUCAUUUAAAAAUUUGACCAAAUCAAUGUUAUUUUAAGAUUUUGUUACUAAACUAUCAAAUUAAGAGAGGUAAGUGUAAUUUUUCAAAGCUCGGGGGAGCUCAGUGAAAUUAUUAGAAACCUCAGGAGGAAUUUCUGAAAUUAUCCCUUUGCCAUAUUGCCAUGGCUUUCAAUUAACAUAAGGGAAAAUCGUUCAAAACGUUCCUCACAUUUUACAAGAUGACUUUUUUCGUCUCUCAUUUUUAAAAGUGUAAUUUUACGUCCCUUACAAAUUCACAUUGACCAAAUUUAGUCCCUACCUAGGUUUCCAACUAGUUUUUGGUCGGAAUCCACCAUGUGACUUGCAUGUGAUUAUUUUUUAAGGGCAAAAUUGUCAAAUCAAAUUUUUACAUAAUCUGAUUCAUAGUCCCUCACAUUUCACAAAAUGAAUUUUUCAUCCCUAACAUUUUACAAAAUGAGUUGUUUCGUUCCUCACAUUUGAAAAAAUGAAUUUUUCCAUCUCUCAUAUUUUUCAAAAUGAAUUUUUUCAACCCUCAUUGAUCAUGUAUACGAAUAGCUUUUUUUUCUAUAAAUCCACGUAUAUGUCUAUUUGAUUUUACCUGAACAGUAUAAAUAACAUGUAAUUUAUCUCUAUUGAAUUUCAUCUAAACAUGUUAAUCGUAGUUAUACACAUGUUAUUCAAUAGAUAAAUAAAGAUGUUUAAAACUAAUAAUUUUGUUUGAAACCCAUGUAUAUAUUUAUAUGAUUUUACCAUUUAAACCUAUUCAAUAUUUGUGACAUUUCUCUUUUGGUAAUAAUUUAUUUAUUGAGUUGUAUCAUAAGGUCAUCUAAUUAAUGGGUCCUAACUCGAAUUCUACAAUUGUGCUAACAAAUUUCAGUUUAAAUCUGAAAUUUCUACUCGACACUUUUAAGACUAACGGUUGAAUUAUUUGCCUUGUGAUUUUGUUAAAAUUUGAAAGUGCCAAUCACUUAUUUCUUUUUGUCAUACUUUUCUUUUGUUUACUUUUUCUAUCCAAAUUUAAUUUGAUAUAAACACUUGAUAAUAUUUAAGGAUUAAAUGCCUUCUUUAUUUUCAAAUUUUGAGUAAAAGAAAAUGAGUAUAAGUGAAAAACUAAUAAUUUUUUAAACCAAUGUAUAUAUCUAUUUGAUUUCACUUGAACAGUACAAAUAGCAUGUGAAAUCAAAUAGAGAUAUAUUACACACUAUUCGUAUUGCUCAAGUGAAAUCAAAUAAAUAUAUAUAUAUUUUUUAAAAAAUUUAUUCACACACAUGAUCAAUAAAACAUAAAAAAAAUUCAUUUUGAGAAAUGUGAAGGAUGAAAAAAUUCAUUUUGUGAAAUGUAAGGGACGAAAAAAAUUUAUUUUAUGAAAUGUGAGAGACUAUGAAUCGAAUUAUAUAAAAUUUGAUAUGACAAAUUUGCCAUUAAAAUAUGAUUACGUACAAGGCACGUGGUGAAUUCUGACAAAAAACUAGUCGGAAACCUAGGUAGGGACCAAAUUUUACCAAUGUGAAUUUGUAAGGAACGUAAAAUUACAUUUUUAAAAGCGAGGGAUGAAAAAAGUUAUUUUGUAAAAUGUAAGGGACGUUUUGAACGAUUUUCCCUUAACAUAAUUGUGAAAAUGGUGAAAGUUGAGUUGUGUUCGACGAUGCUUCUUUGGUGUUGGGGACCUGGGAUCUCGGCCUUGCAACUUGCCACCCCUGCUUCCUUAUUUCUUUUGAAUUUUUCCCUCCAUCACCCUGCCUAAGUCCUAUCUAAGGGUGUAAAUAAGUCGAAUCGAAGUCGAGUUUUGACUUAAUCGAGCUGAGUCUCUUAUUUAAUUUUAUGAAAUUCAAACUCGACAAACUCAAAAUAUCAAACUCGAGCUCGAGUUCGACUCAAAUUCUAGUCGAGCUCAAGCUUAAAAAAUAAAAAAUAAUAAUAAUUGUUUUUAUUUUAAAAAAUAAAAAUAAUUAUUUUAUUUUAAAAAAUAAAUAAAAUAAUAAUUUUUUUAACAAAUAAUAAAAUAUUAUGGACGUAUAUGUAAUUUUACUAUUAAAAUAAAAAAAUAAAAAUAUACACAAUUGACAUCGCGAGCCAACGAAUUUAAUGUUUUUGAACUCGAGCUCGAGUUGAGCUCACGAGCGGCUCAAUUCGUGUACAGCUCUAAUCCUAUCCAACAAAUCCAAGUAAAACGAACACUACUGAUUUUAAUCCUUUCUUGACAGACGGUGCCUGCAAAUCCAAUUAUCAGUUAAUCACAACAAAUUUUUUACAUGAAUCCACUUUACAAUCUUAUACAUUGUUAAAGGAAAAAAAAAACUUAUUGGACUGCAUAUACAAACAUUCGAGUGCACAUAAAUAUUUGAACCCACCACCAUAUUCAUGUCUUUCUAAAAAUUCCCUUUCAUUAAACAGGACCUUCACGUGUCUACCGUGCAAAGCACCGAUUAAGCAUUCAGCAUGUCCCUCUACGUGAAACCAAUUAUUACACAAUUCGUUUUGCGUGAUCGAAUAAAUAUGCAGGUGGCCUAAUUAAGAUUAACAGUGGUCAGUUGCUUCGAAUCUUUUAAUGAUUUUUGCAAUUAAUUUCUGGACUUAAUGACCUAAAACAGAAUUGAAGUAACGAGUUACGUUUACUUUAAUAUUAUACAAAAUCUUUUUCCUUUAUUUUUCCCUGAAGCAACUGGGAUUGGGAGAAAUAUCUCUGAUUGGCUUUGUGGAGUUGUUUUCAAGAAUAUUUCUAAGAAUCCGUUUGGAUUAUCUAUUUUUGGAUAUGUUUUUAAAAUUUUUAACUGUAACAGAGUUUUUACUUUUUAGAGUAUAUAUUGGGAUAUUUAAGAGUAGUAGAGUUUUUUGAAUAUAUUUUGAAAUAUUUUUUAAACAUUAAAAAAUUUUAGAGUACCUUUUAGAGCACUUUUGGAUUACCAGUUUUUGGGGGUGUUUUUGAAAAAUUUUACUGUAGCAGUGUAUAUGAAAUUUUUUUUGAAAUAUUUAAUAUAUUAUAUGGAUGAAAUGUUUUUUGAAUUAUUGUGUAUUAUUAUAGUAUUGUAUUUCAAAAGCUUGUUUGUUAAAAAAGGCCAAUUCAAACGGAGUUUAGUAUUUGAAAAACUGAUAGAUUCCAACAGAGCAAUUAAAAAAAAUGAAGAAAAUUAAAGAGUUUCUGUAGCAAGCCCAGAUGGCAUUGUUGGGCCGACAUGAGAAGAGGACACAAGUGAAGCAAAUCACUUUUGGACCAAGCAAUGGAAUCCUUUUCACUUUUGGAGUAAGCAACAGAUUGGACUCAUCCUGCAAGGUCCAAUAUCCAUCAGACUGUGGGACUGUGGACGUAAUGAGUAAAUACUAAAUAACUAAGAUUACAUCAUCGUUUCAAAUUUUCCGGGAAAACAAAAUGGAUGAAGAAAACAAAGAAUACACACGCCCACCGUGGGGCUCGAACCCACGACCACAAGGUUAAGAGCCUUGCGCUCUACCGACUGAGCUAGACGGGCUUGUUGGGAAGGUUUGACCUCCAUUUUAAUUUAGUUCAAUGUAAAUAAAAUUCUAAGGGAUUGGAUUUGGGGCUAACUGCUAAGCCGCAGUCUUCUGCACGGUUUUCCAUCAAAUUGGUCGAUGCGUCGAAACUGCCCAAACAGAGGAAGGAAAAUAAGAUGGGAGGAGCUGUGAUCUGGACGGCGUUCGAGGUGCUUUUGAUUGUAGCAAUAAUGUUAGCAUUUGGAGUAGUUUCUGCUAUGGUCUUGGAAACUUUCCGGAGAAGAUUCAAUCACAAGUAUAGUAUUUGCUCUUUUAUCUUUUGGUUUUUUCUUCUAUACUUCGUCUACCUUUUCCUACCAAGACCUGCGGUGAAUUCGACUUUAAUGUUUCUUAUUCUAAUUCUCCGAUCUUUCUACAGUUAUUCUUUUUUUUUUUUCUGUGGUUGCAUUAAUUUGUGAGCAUGUUAUAUUGCUGUUCGCAGCCACGUUGAAGCUCCUCCUGUUUUCGAGGAUCCUAAUUCGUUGAACCAGGUAAUUUCGAACACACAAAGAUCUCUUGUUCUCUAGGGGAAAGUUACAUUUUAAUGCAAUUUUAUACGGAAAUAGAAGGCUUUUGCAUUAGUUCUUAACUAGGGAGUUGGAUGCUUCUAGCAUGCUACAACUGACUAUCAAUAUAUGGAAACUAUUUAUCAUGACGACUUUAUAAAGUAGAGAGAACUCAUCUGCAACUUAUAGUUCAAUUGUUGUGUCUGUCUCUUCUACUCUUUCCCUUUCCGUUAAUUUCCUGUUGAACUCUAGGAACAUGUUUCAAUUCCUCAGGAUGCAAUUCUGCCGCUAAUUGGGGAGAUUGAUUUGGAGCCAAAGGAAUACUGGUUUAGGGGUCAACAUUACAAUUAUUAUUAUUUUUUUGGGGGUUUGGGGGAUAAGUGAUCAACAUUACGAGCUGAUAGUGGUGUAGUUGUAACUUAAUGAGUCAUAUCUAUGUUCAGUAAAUUGACUAUUAUAUGUCUUCCCUUCCAGGUUCCUUGUCCUCAUAUUUUUGAUUCCGCUGAGAAGUACAUAUCUUUGAUUGUUCCCGCUUACAAUGAAGAAAAUAGGCUUGCUGGAACUCUUGAUGAAACCUUAAAGUGAGCUGAGGCUUAGCAAAUUUUAUUUUACUUGUUCUCUCUCUCUCUCUCUCUCUCUUCCAUUUCUAAUUCCAGUAUUCAUUUUGAGAUAAUUUUUUCUAGUAUUUUGUAUCUUCAAUGGAUGGUAUUUUUGAUUAGUUAUUGGGAAUAUGAAUUGAUCUGAUAUGCAUCAUAACUUUGAUCCUUUUGCUAGUUAUCUUCAACAGCGUGCGGCAAAGGACAAGUCUUUCACAUAUGAGGUAAAAUUAUAGAACUUGUCUGUUUUCUGCAUUUAAAUGUAUGAAGUUGAUUGAUUUUAUCAGCUUCUGCAUCUCAAAAAGACUUGUAGGUAAAACUGUAUAAACAAUAGGUUUCAUCUAUAAAAGGUAACUUAAAUCUUGUGAAGACAAGGGCAGAUAGUGGAACUGCUGCUGUUGCAGAGUGGAGGAGUAUAGUGAAAGAAGUUUUUUUGAGCACCCAGUUGUGAUGUGGUUAUGUGUUUUGCUACUUUCUGAAAGGUUGCUUCUUGUAGUGGUGAAUAAGCUAUCAUCAUUUUAUGUUUUUCUUGAUGAAAGAAAUGUACAAAUAGAACCUUACUGCUCUGCUAAUUUGGAUUAGUGAUUCAAAAACAGCUAUUACAGUUGUAAUUGCAACAAAUUUUGCCAACAGUUAUGCUUUUUACAAAGAUAAUUUUUAAGAAAACCUGUGUUAGUUAUUGAGUAUGACUGAGGAGUUAUUCUAGACUGCCAAAUCUGAAGGGAAAUUGAAGCUGUCAGUCUGCUUUACCAAAUCGUUCCACUUUCAAGUGUCUUUUGAAUAUGAUUUUUACAGUACCUACCAAACAAAGUGAACUCAAGAGCAGCAGUGUUCAAUUGUGGAUUGGCUUUCCUGUGGUGGAUGUUGAUGUUAAAUGGAUUUCAAUUAGCAGAGAUUUGCAUGUUCCUUUUGCUGACUAAGGGCCUGUAGUUGAGUCAAAAGUGAAUCCUGGCGGAACCUUUAUAGCUUGUGGCAUGCAAUACCCUGACUUGCUCCUGUCAGAUUUAUAUAUUUUUGGAUUGUACAAUGCCUCGUUCCAAAGUUCUUAUUUAUGAGUUAGUUUGAGGACAAUGCAGUAAAAAGAAGGGAAUAUGAUACUCUUGUCCUUUAAAGUGCUACAUUGGCUUGAUAUUUCAUGCUUUCUAUAUCAUCCAAGUGACUCUACUCCUGUCUGGAUGAAUUUAUGUUGGAUUAGGUGAUAAUUGUUGAUGAUGGAAGUGCUGAUGGAACAACAAGGGUAGCUUUUGAUUAUGUCAAAAGAUACUUGGUAGAGAACGUUAGAGUAAUUCUUCUGGGAAGGAACCAUGGGAAGGGAGAAGCUAUACGAAAAGUGAGUCCAAUCGAGCUAUCUAUCCAUCCUUAACUAUUUAUGGUGAUGUUACUUCUUUUCUCUCUGUUUGUAAUUUGACCUCUAGUAGCAACUGAUUAAAGCUUUUUGCUUCUGUGAAAGCAUUGUAAAACAGGGAAUGCUGCACUCUCGUGGUGAAAUUCUUCUAAUGCUUGAUGCUGAUGGUGCAACAAAAGUAACUGACCUUGAAAAGCUUGAAAAUCAGGUAGGUAGUUGGGUAUGACUUCAAACAACUUGUGCUCAGUUAAAUUUCUCAUGUAUUUAUAUUAUUGUCUUUUGUUUCCCUAUAGCUGAGUUUUUAUGAUAUAUCUAAUAAUAAGCCAUCAGAUCAUUGCAGUUGCUAGGAAGGGACAUGAAUUUGGACAAUCUAUAGCUAGUGAUUCAACAUUAAGAAUAGCAGAUGUCCUAGUUGCUGCAAUUGGUUCUCGUGCUCAUCUCGAGGAACAGGCUCUGGCCACAGUUGAGUCUUGUUAAUUUUUUUUUAUGCAAUGUUAAUAUUGUUCCAUCAAAUAUGAUUGUACAAUUUCUAGGCAAGUAAAAGCUGUUUUAAUUGUGCUUCAGAGGAAGUGGUACCGCAAUUUUUUGAUGAAGGGUUUCCACGUUGUGGUUAUGUUGGCUGUUGGCUCUGGUAUCCGGGAUACACAGGUUAGAUUAUGGUCCAUAAAUUGAUUUAAGUUUUCUCCAUCUUUGUCUCUUGAUUCCCUUCUCAAAAUUGCAGGAUUAUGCUCUUCAUUUAGUUUUAACUACUUGCUCUUUUGCCAGUGUGGUUUUAAGAUGUUUACUAGGGCUGCUGCCCGGAAGCUUUUCACAAACAUCCGUUUGAAAAGGUACUAUUAGUUUUUUUCCAUCUUUGACUUUAAUCUGCUAACUAGGAACCUGGCUUUCUCCUUCAAUUAUGGUAGUAGUGCACUACCACAAGUUUUUUUAUUUUUUAUUUUUUUGUGCUUUGGAUAACUAGCAUUUCCUCUUAAAAUUUUGAAUAAUGAUUUAUUGUUCCCUCUCAUAUUUGCUUGGUCUUCAUGUCAUACUGAAUAUGACUGGUUAUUUUUUCUACAAUCUGUUAGGCUUCAGUUCAUAAAGACAGGAACACUACCAUUUUGUGAUACUGGAUUGAUCUUUUAUGUGAUGUGUACAACUUGGGUGUGGGUUAAUUUGAAGGUUGAAUGAAAGGGAGACAAGUGUGUCUCCUUUGCAUAACAUACUGGAGCUGUUCAGAUUGUGCUAUUUGAACUUUAUUCAUGUAUACAGUAUCUUGGCACACAACAAAUUAGUGAAGAGUGUAGAAUUCUUAAGCAUCAUUUGUUCAACAUAUGGAUCCAAAUUUGUGAGAAGAUACAGGAAAUAGAUGAGAGUCAGAAUGAGAGUGAGUUAGAGACAUGCUUUUCAAAUAUUGCUGAACUUAGUAAUCUAGCCUGGAACAAGACUCGAUUGCAAGGCUAUUGAGGCAAAGAGGACUAAAACCUCAUGCUUCUAGUUUCCAUUGCCAUCAUCAUCAUCAUAUAUUGAUAGUCAAUGUUCCCAUCUUAAAUUAGUAACAAUGGACUCUGGGAUUUAAGGACAUGAUUGCUAGGCCAGCCCAUUUCAGUUGCUUAUGGAGUGAUGCUGCAUCUGUUUUGAUUGAAUUCAGGUUCUGUUUUCUGGAUGAGUGCACAAUUGUCCUGAAACAUGCCCUACGCUUAGAUGUCUCAUAAUGUAAAAGGUGAUAUGGUUCUUGUUUGCCUAAUAUAGUAAUCUUUCAAGGAUAGGUAUUCUGAAGAAAUAGGAAAUUGGAAGGUGUUUAUGUCUUGGUUGACGAGAUUAUGAAUUUGUCUAAAUGUAAGAUGCUAAGGACAAAAGAAUUGCCUUUAAGAUCUGAAAUGAAAUUGCUUCAAUGGAGGUUAAGAUUAAACUCAUAUAGAUGCAUUUUGUUUGUAUAUCUGUACUUCUUGUUUUACCAUUAUACUGUUAUAACUUUGAUUUUUUUUCCUCUUGCCUUCUCUUUUGCAAGUCUGACUUUUCCCAUGCGGUAGCUAAAUUACAAUUUCUAUUACAGGUGGUGUUUUGAUGUGGAAUUGGUCUACUUGUGCAAUACAUUUCAUAUCCCAAUGGUCGAGAUAUCUGUAAAUUGGUCCGAAAUUCCGGGAUCAAAGAUUAACAUGACAAGUAUUCCCAACAUGUUAUGGGAGAUGGGACUGAUGUCUUUGGGGUAUAGAUCUGGUAUUUGGAAGAUCUAUGGCUGAGUUUGCAGCCUGGGAUAGAUGCAUCAGGGAGUUGUAGUAUGAGUAUCUCAUAUCUUAAACUCAGAAGAGAAAGGCUUACUCGGACAUACGUAAGUAGGUAGCUGGAGGUCUUGCUUUUCUUACGUCAUAGGUUUUUGCAAAGUGAUCUGAUCAAAUUUGAUAUAAAACUAACUGAUUAGCACUCAGAUUUGUCUUUUUCUUUUCUUUUCUUUUCUUUUUAAAUUGAUUUUACUCUGGGAUAACUCGCGAGGGAUAACAACGGAGUUUUGUAUGGACUGGGGCAAUGUUGGGGCCAAGCAAGAGUGCUCCCCUGUUGUUUCUGAAAAUCCAUUGUAUGCCAUACUAGUAGCGCUAUUUGCUUGAAGUCCAUUAUACGUCAUACUUGUGACAUGUGCUCUCGUUCUUUUAAAAGAAAUAUUGCCCUUGAUUCCAUUGGACAUGACAUUUUUGGCUAGGCCGCAAGCGAUUGUAGAUGCAAUUUUCACCAAAAACAGAAAAAGGGAAAAAGGCUGGUAGAGUAAGCUUAAAGAGCGAUUGGCAACUAUAUCAAUGGUUCUUACUUCGCAAGACCGCCCAUGGAACGAUUGAAGGAGGGGAAAGAAUUUGAGGUGAAUAAGGUACUAGUGAUGCUAGCCGGCAGCCGCUACGUUUCCUUCGUAAGCCUAUUGUCCUGGAAGGUUAAAAGAUAGUGGCAAGCGAAACUGGAGUACGUGGCAUAUGUUGCUUUCUUCAAAAUGCGGAAAAUUUAGGUAAACGAAUCCGGAUGGUUCGAUUUUUCACGGUUAUGUUCUACGUGCAAAUUAGACUAUUCACGCGCGAAAACAGGGAUGACGAUUUGGGAGGGUAACUUUAUUGACUUGGAGCAUCCAUAGUAAUAACCUCUACAUCCUGAUUAGAAAAAAAAGGUCAAAAAAAAGAGUUGCAUUUACCAUAAAGCGUUAGCCGGGAAGCAGACAUUAACGUAAAGACAAGCCAAGCCAUCGAAACUGACAUAUUCACUUCCAGGUUGAUAUGGCCGUAUUUUUUCUGACAGUUAUCGACAAAAGUUUAGCAUUUUAAAUUCUUUUCUAUUGGCAUAAAUUUACUUGUAAAGCAACUUUAUGUACCUCCGAUUACAUGUGCAAAUCCACUUUAUAGAUUAGUUGAUGUUAGUUAAUCGUUUUUGUAAUGGAGUAGUUGCAUUUCAUUCCAUGUUACGUAAAAGACUUGAAUGAGAUCAAUCUUUAAAGGCUCAUUUCCAUUACAUAAAUGAUUCGUUAAUCUUGAAAAGACCGACAUGGAUGGUCAUUUCUUGCAUGAAUUCAAAAGGCAAGCGUCGUUCUUCUUCAAGGACAAAAUCAAGGUUGCCCGAUUGGCUCUUCUUGAUGUUACACCAGCUCAACUGUAUGGUUUUAUUUGUAUGCAUCUGUAGAUAAUAUAUCUUUUUUUUUUUCUGCCGUUUUAGUCUGUUCGAUUAAUUUGGCUUGUCAAUUUCUUUUUUUUUUGGGCUGAAAGAUCGACAGAAGAAGCCACAAAUGGAGAUUCCUCAGCACCGGACGCACGUACGAUGAGACUUAUAUCACGUGCUGCCUUUGAAGUUGAUGAUUAUUGGAGAAUCGUUGAUGUUCUGCAUAGAAGGUUUCUCCGUUGGUUGGCUAAAUGAUUUUGUCUGGCUUUGCAUAAGCUUCACAAGUAAUCAUGCAGAAGUUCUUUAUAUAAACGAGUUCUACGCGUCUUUGAUUUGAUGCAGGUUGCAGAACUAUGAUAGACACAAUUGGCGAGCGGCCUACCAGGCGAUGAUAUUGCUGGAACACCUCCUCACGCAUGGACCAGCAAGAGUUGCAGAGGAGUUUCAAGGUGAUCGAGAUAUCAUCAGAGAGAUGGCAAAUUUGUCUUACAUAGAUGAGAAGGGGUUCGUUUAAUUAAUCCCGUGGCUUGUUGUAUAAAGCAAAUAAGAUAUGAUUAUUGGAGCUAUAAAAUCAUCUCCUAUGCAGGUUCGAUUGGGGAUUAAGUGUGCAGAAAAAGGCUGAAAGAGUGCUGAAGCUGAUCAAGGACGGGUCAUUUCUCAAGGAAGAAAGAGCAAGAGAGCAAAAAUUAACAGUGGGGAUUAAAGGGUUUGGGAGUUUCUGUGAACGAUCAAUCUUAACAGAUGAGAGUUCGAAAUGUGCAUAUUCCAAUAAAUAUUUGAGAUGUCAUUCUCACUUUUGUGAACGUCAAAGCACUGAAGAUGCUCUGUUGGCUGCGGACGACGAAAGGGUUCCAAAAGCACAGGAGAUUCGUAAUAAGCACAGAGAUUCAACAACCGAAAACCCACCACAAAAUUCCAACGGCAACAGAACCUUUGAAGAGGAUGAUCAUCCCUUCUACAGCAAAGAAGAUCAAGCUCUAGUCUCCCUGCUUUCCUCAGGGUGAAAUCGAAGUCAUGUAAACACUAUGAUCUUGUAGUUGACAUGUCAUAUCUUUUGGUAUUAUAUAGCAGAAUCAGAGUUGUACGAUAAGAUACAGUCUUAUGCUUUAAAAAAGUGAAAAUCAGGUUUUAUCUAGAGUUAAAUCAGUUCAAUGUUCACGGUAGGGAAAAGUUUCGAGUGAAAUCCCAAUCCGAAAAACAAACAAAAACCAAGAGGCAGGGCUUCACCAGAUCUAUAACCAGUGUAGAUGCCAAAAAAAAGCUCGCACAUUCUCAGAGAGAGAGAGAGAGAGAGAGAGAGAGAGAUCAGAUAGAAACAGUUGAAACUUCUACAUUGAACACAAUAAAACAGUCGGAACAUCCAGCAAUCAACUCCUCGCCAUCUCAAGGCUAUCAACCCAGAAUGAGAAUCACAAGUUAAGAGAACAAAGCUAAAAUAUAAUCUUGCAAGCUGCAUAUCUGACCCGCUACUAAAAUAUCAUUCAACACUUUCCCGCAAAAUUAGAAGCAUUUUCUAUGCACGAUUGAGGGACCAGAUUCAUCAUAUUCUGACUUUGCAAUCCACAUCUGCAAACAAAGCAAGCAAAAUAUUAACCAAAGAAUUCCUAAUUAAAGCAAACAAUCAUCUUGUUUUGUAUGUAAGGAAACAAACCUGUUGGAAGGUGCUGAGUGAUGCCAAGAUGGAUCCUCCAAUCCAGACACUGUACUUUCUCUCAGGUGGUGCCACCACCUUGAUCUUCAUGCUGCUGGGAGCUAAUGCUGUAAUUUCUUUGCUCAUCCUAUCAGCAAUGCCAGCAAACAUUGUAGAACCACCACUGAGUACAAUGUUUCCGUAAAGGUCCUUCCUUAUAUCAACAUCGCACUUCAUGAUGGAGUUGUAAGUGGUUUCGUGGAUUCCUGCAGCUUCCAUUCCAAUCAUUGAAGGCUGGAAGAGGACCUCAGGGCAUCGGAAGCGCUCAUUACCAAUGGUAAUCACCUGCCCAUCAGGCAAUUCAUAGCUCUUCUCUACAGAAGAACUAGUUUUUGAAGUCUCUAUCUCCUGCUCAUAAUCAAGUGCAAUGUAUGCCAGUUUUUCUUUAACAUCUCUCACAAUUUCCCGCUCUGCUGUGGUGGUGAAAGAGUAACCACGCUCAGUGAGGAUCUUCAUUAGGUGAUCAGUGAGAUCACGACCAGCCAAGUCAAGACGGAGGAUGGCAUGUGGCAAGGCAUAACCCUCAUAGAUGGGAACGGUAUGGCUG